rnacentral:lncRNA from 1 species
CUGGGACACACAAAUGCUUAGAGCUGAGUAUAAAGAAACACGAGAUAAGUUAUGCAUACCUCCAGAUUACAGCAUCAGCUUGUUAAUCCCAGGUUUGUCUGUGCAGAAGCACAGUGCAGGAUAAGUGUAGGCACAGACCUUACACUCCUGGCCCUCUGAUGGGCAGGGCUUGGAUUCGGGGCAGCAUUGAGAGUUCGGCAUGCACUCCACCUCUUUCAGGCUCCUGAAGUAUGAGAGAAGAGAAGAAGCUGGCACAAACUUUGUGUUGGGAGCUAUCUCAAUAGCAUUGGUGGACUCAAGUGAAGCAAAUGCAAUUGCAAUAGUGAGUGUGAGAAUAAAAGCAAUCUUUGCUGCCUUCUCCAUGGGAUUUGCUACACAAGGACUAAACUGUGCUGCUGCAAAAAUAACUACAACCUGAGAGUGGUAUGUAUAUGGUGUGGAGGAAGACAUGUAUUUAUACUAUUAGACAGGCCUUGCAUGAAUAACGUGGGCUAGGAGACGUGCAAUGUGCUUGAGACACGUGCCAAGGCACAGUGGCGGAUAAGAUACAGUCAUAUGCCCACGUGGACUUAGCUGCUUCAGGGGUAUUCCCAGGAUGGGCAUCUGGCAUCGGCAAAAGGGAUCGUUGAUGCAAUGAAUGAGAGAACAUUGUCUCUUGGAAUGAGAUGCUUAGAGCAUAUUCCCAUCCCCAGAAUAUAGAAUUUUUGGACAGCACACUUAGAGAGAUGCCACAGGCGGACUUGGUCUCGUACGUGGACGAUUCUGCUCACAGCAUAUGCCAAGGCUGGGAAUCUCCAUGACCAGAUGACCUGGUAUCUUGUAUCAGGGGUAUUGUGUUAAACAUGACACACCCUCGCCUGGUUGACGACAAGGAAGCUGUUGGAAUCGAUGCCGUAUUGCUACGGAGUGACGUGGAAUGCCAUGCUUGCCAUCCUUAACUAACAGUUUUGACAAAUCAUAAUGAAUUUGAUGCCCACCAGAGACACAGCAUAUGCCCAUUCGCGGCAUCCAAGGCUCUCCUUUACAUUCUCAAUUUGGAGGGUGUUAGUCGGGACUAAGUAACAUUUAUGUGAGCAUUCUUACAACAUUGAGCCACUCCGGCCUGGUUCAAUGGAGUUUGAUUAUUUUGUGUUUUCAGACAUGAUUUAUGUUCUUGGUAGACCUGGACUUGUGAAUGAACCUUUUUGAUAGCAUGCUAGGAUCAGGGUAAGGUGGCGGUGGCGGCAUUCCUGAUAUCCGAGUCAAGUGAUUAGCGACCCGGUUGUAAGAGAUCGAUGUCCAGGACAUUGCUGCAGUGAAGUCGCGAUUUUCGUUUACUCUUUUCGGAAGCAACAGGCUCUGCUGGCUGGUGUUCACGCUUUCAUGAUAAAAUCCCGCUCUAUCCCUCUCUCUUUCUUUUCGCUAACUCUACUAGUGUGGCUUUGGCCGAAUCCAGCAGAGAAGGAAAUCGAGUUGACACCAAUUGUGGAGCACUCAUAUGCCCGAAAUGGACAUGAAGCGAUGCUAAGAAGCUCUUUGACGCUGCGUCGGUCGAAAGCAUUGUGCUGUGGACUUCGCUGCUUCAGGGAUAUUCCCAGGAUGCACAUAGAGCCCCAAGACUCUCCUUUACAUUCUCAAUUGGAGGGUGUUAGUCGAACAAAAAAGAGCAUUCUUACAGAGCGUUAAGCCACUCAGGUCAUUUGAAAGAGGCCUGUCAAUACUUUGAAUCGAUGGAGUUCGAUUAUUUUGUGGUUUCCAAGGAAGAUCACAGUGGUAAAGCUGGACUUGUGAACGAGGCCAAGGACCUGUUUGAUAGCAUCGGGGUACGGCGGCAUUCCUGAUGGUCGAACUUAUAUCCGAGCCUGUUGUUGUGAAAGAGAUCGAUUGCUCCAAUGCUGUUAAGUCGCGAUUCUCGUUCACUCUUUAGGCUCUGUGGAUUUGCCAGCUACUUUUGGUUCUUGCGGAUCAGAAAAUCUCUCCAGCUCUCUCUUUUCCUCUUCACUAACUCUAUUAGUGUGUCUUUCCAGGGAAACUCGUCGAAUCCAGCGGACAAGGAAGUCGAGUUGACAACAACUGGACAAGUAAGAUAGUGUUUGUACAGUCCAAGUGACACUGACAACAGGUGCUUCAAAGCGUCUCUUUGAUCUACUUCUAGUUUUUAUCUCAACAAGUUUUCCUUCUCCAGCCUCCAGUGGUAAUCGAAGACGGUGAUGUUAUCCAAUAGAGGAUACAUGGGUGCUGCGAGCACAAAGGUCCAAAUCACCAAUGGCACUGACUAUAUUGUUGUUCUUCGUGACAGGUUCAGGAUGAUCUAUGAUGUGAAGCUGGGAGUUGUCCCCCCAAAAGUUUCUAGAAGUUUGAGGAUCAAGCUUCCCUCUCAAACUUACUUUCGAGUUGCUGUCAUGGUGGCCCGUGAAAAUGAUGAAAUUCCCACUGGUUUGCAUCUGGAUGUCAGGGACUUGGAGCCCCAGGCAGCGUUCUAUAUCAGUGAAGAAAAUGGCACUUUCUAUUUGACAGAUGCCAACGACAAUACAUUCAAGUCAAGUCGGAUGCUGCCAGAUGAAAAGCUUGUUGUCAAGUGAUACUUAGUCCAAAAGGGAAGUAGUAACAAAAACUAAACAGAGCGAGCGAGCUUUCCAACGCCUCUACAUAAGAGCUGCAAAUCCAUGUAUCUUUGCUUGAUAUGAGUUGAGUUGAGUGGAAAUCCAUGUAUCUUUGCUUGAUUUGAGUGGAAGAACAAUUGUAUGAGGUAAAAUCUUCGAUUCAUGAACGCCUGUGACUCCUCAAGUAUAGUUAAGAUGUUUCCAAAUUCCAAUCAGGCAUUAAAUUGAAGCACUCAGAUGCAGCUGAACUGAACUCCAGAGCAGCUCAAAAAUUGUCAAAAUAAAGAACCCAAGCAUUUGCCCGGGAAUCGAACCCGGGUCUGUACCGUGGCAGGGUACUAUUCUACCACAAGACCAGCAGUGCAUUUCAUACUUAAGACUAUACACACUUGACCUAACACGUAAUUACAUUGCUGACUUGGAUAUCCACACGGGACAACGUGGCAUGCCACGUGUCGCUCUAGGCGGUGCCCGAGACCCCGAUAUCGUCUUCCUUCUUGGCGUCCGGCUGGCCAAAGACGGGGCCUCCAUGCCCGGCGGCCUCGUCCUUGUGCUGCUCGUCCGUGCCCAUCUUCACAGGGAUGCCAUGGGCGUCUUCCUUGCUAUCGACGCGCUCCUGGAUCUUGGCGCCCUCCUGGCUCUCGUAGGUGGUGUCGGUGAAAGAUCCCGGGGGAAGAGCUCCCUGCGCUCCAGACAUCGCUACAAAUCCACAAAAUCACACCGAUCCACACUCCAAAAUCCCCUCCAGAGUGAUUCUUCUUCCUCCCCUGGAUCGGAAAAACAAACCCAAAAGCGUCGAGAACACGAAGAGCUUACUGAUCGAUCGAUCGGGUCCAAGGCCUCUUCCACUCAGAGAGAGUUUAUCCAGAUUGGGGAUUUAUAUGCGAGCUCGAUCGUGUCUCGCGGUGACCAGUGUCCUCCCAGGUGUCGAGAAACCAUCCACCGGCAAAGCUAUAUGGAGAGACUAGAAAAAGAGGGAAAAAAUUCCAUGGUCAAUUUCCUUGCAGAAACCUUACAAAAAACUCUCUCUAGCCCGAUCCAACGAUGAUGUUGUUGAUCGGGAUGAAGAUGAGCUUGACGAAGAAUCCGAUGAAUCCCAUCACUACGAAUCCCGCCGCUGUCCUCAGCGCAACCUUGGUAUACUCUGCAAGAGCCCACGAAUCGAUCAAUCCAAUCAGAGAUCUAGAUCUAUAAACCCUAAUUCUCGCGAGAGAGAGCGAGAUCUCUCUUACCUUUGCGAUCCGGCUUGUGGCAGCGCUUGACGAGCCGCAGGCUGUCCUUGGCGAAUUCCUUCAUCGGCCGCACGACCACAUCCACAGCCUCCAUGUCUUCCUUUUCUCUUAGAACCCUAAUUCUCCCCCUGGGCCCUCAAAUAGCGCCACAGUUAAAAGAACCCGUUUAAAAGGCCGAUGUUGACCAUUAGCCUUUUGGUUGAUUUUUGUUGACUUACCAUUCUUCGUUGACUUUAGUUGGCUAUGGAUGCUGGAUGUAAGCUCGGCCUAGGGCGAUAGCCAAUCUAGCGCUUCUUUCCAUCGAGAAGCUUGGGGGAGAGGAUCUAAUUAAAAUCGCGAUUCCGUCUGGGAGAAAGGGCAUGAGCCAGCUCCUCCGUCGCCCCAGCAAAUCCACGCUGUAGUGAUGGAGCCCCGGAGAGAUCCGUGGUCGCGCUGGAACUCCAUCCCGAGGCCGUAGCCGAGCCGCCCACUGUGGCUGCUGCCCGCGAUCAAGCUGAGGAAGAUCGAUCCGUCCCAGCAUCUCCCGGAAGAAGAGGAUAUCCUCGCCGGCAUAGCGAUCGCGAGGAUCGCCGGAGGAGAGGACCGAGAUCCACGCCACGAGAUCGGCCUUUGCCGAUCUUUCUCGCGCUGGCCGUGUCGCCCACCCAUCACUGAGGUGAAAGCCGCGAGAUCUUUCGUAGGAGAUCGCACAAGAACUUCCCGUGAUUGGUGGAGCUCGCCACACUGCGAGAGCCCCGCGACCAUCACUGUCCACAACACUGGAUUCCUCUCGCGCAUCGAUCACGCGGUGGCCACCUCGCCGGAUCGAAGAGCUUGCGCGACGCCUGGAAAUCGCCGUGCCGGGCGUUGACGAUCGUGCUGGCUAUCACGUUUUGUUCCAGCGUCUUGGAUCGCGAGUAGAGCUCGCAGUGAUUCCUUAUAUCGGCCAGCAUCAUCGAGAGUGCACGCUAGGCUUUGUCGAGAGAAUCCUCUUGCUGUUCUUGAGCUUAAGCUUGCGUGAUCGCCGUCCACAUCACGGAUCUCGCUGGGGGGAUCGAUCAAACAGCUCUUUGGAUCGCUGCACGAUUCCAUUCCCGCAGUAGGCCCCCAGGGGCAAGGCCGAUCUCGUGGCGUGGAUCUCGAUCCUCUCCUCCGACGAUCCUCGCGAUCGAGAUGAGGACGGGUUUUCAGAAAAGAGCGUCUUUGCAUCGUCCAGGAACUCGUUCUCGUCGGUGAUAGUCGACUCUUCCUUGUGAAUCUUCUCAGCCAAAUGUAUGGAAAGUGUGGCUGCGUAGACGGUGCUAAGUUGUUUGAUAGCCUGAGGCCACCUAAUGUUUUCUCGUGGAAUCUUUGUCACUGGACCUUGUGUUUCGGGCUGCUAGCUUGUAUGGCGGACUGAGAGCACUUGGCACCAAACCAGACCUUGCAUCUGAUUAGCUUAAUUCCCAUGUCAACAAAGUUUAUGCUUUUUGCACAAUUUAGAUUUGACCCAUCAUCAAGGGCGUGUUCGACACCUGCAAACAAAAAAGUCCAGAAAUCUUGCUUGCAUGGGCAUGUUUUGGAAGCUGGAGAGAUGUUUCGGGAUGCCUGAAAGAAGUUUAGUUUCAUGGGCGAGUUGAUCUCAACUUACAGAAGAAUGGUGAUACUGAGAAGUUUGUGAUUGAUCUCCUUCUUGGAGUGUAAUUUCCUGUAUGACACUACUUAGAGUUAUGCCCAUAAUGGGCAUUUGGAAACUUGCAAGACUGAUCUAAUGCCAGAAAGGAAUGAUAUUUCAUGGAAUUCACUCAUCUCUGUGUUCGUUGGAAAGGAUCAGGUUGAAAAGGUUUUGAGAUCUAGCAGAGGAGAACUAGAUAUGUUCUAGAACUUCUAAGAUUAACUUGAAGGAAGAUGCCACAGCGGUCUAAAGUUUCGUGGAGCAGCCUCCUCUCGUUCUAACCUUUGAGUCGAUGCCCAAGACCAAUGUUUUCUCGUGGACUUCGUUCCUCUCCCCGCAUUCCAGCGCCGAAGAUCCCACACUUGCGCAGGAAAUCUUCCCGGCGAUCAACGAAGUUUCCGUGAAUUCCAUGAUGAAAGCCUUCGCGAUGGCGACCGAUGAGUUCCAAUGAAAAUCUUGGACCGCAAAUGCCCGCGCUACGUGUUUUUGAAAAGGAAUAGAACCAAACCUUUCACCUAUCUAAAGUUUGGUAAAUGGGGGAAAUUUUGAGUAGGAGUAUCUCCUAGUCUAUUCUUCUCAACUGAGCCAUGGAAUGGAGAAUAAAGAUUCGCAAAGCUCGCUCCAGGCUGCAUUGGCUACUCUUGCUUGUUUUGAUUGCUUACCUUUUUAUUGGCCAUAAACUAGAGAGAAGAAUUGGCUCCAGGAAAUGGUCACACCCACGAAGAAGAGUUCCAAGAAAGAUAAAGGCCCUGGUGGAUCUAUGGAGCAAGGUUUUGGAGCGAGGUCACAACAGCACAAAUCUUCCAAGAGCAUUACUUCCACCUCACAUUCAAGACUGCAAAAGAUGUGAAGAGCUCCACACCAAGAUGGACAAUCGUGGAAAGAAUGGUGAAUUGCCUCCUUGGAACCUAUGGAAAGAUCUUGUGGAUGACAAUAUUUCCUCAAAUUCUUCUCUAGCCAUACCAUGGGCAAGUAUAUCCCUUUGGAAGUGUGAAUUUGAUUAACAAAGUAUAUGAUCUAGCAGGUUCAUGGCGGUGAUGACGAUAAUCUCCCUCUAACAAGGCUUGUCCAGCAGGAUUUGUGGCUGCAUCAACACCCCAAAAACUGCAGCAAUGCAAGAUUCCUCUUGGCCCACUGGCACAGCCAGACCGCACCUAUUGGUGUUGGAUCUCAGAUGGUUUUUCUUUCAGCAAUUCUUUCCUCAGCUGUGAGUGAGGGGAGAGUUUUUGUUACACUGCCCUUCUCUGGAGCAGAUCAUGAGGGAUGCACUGGUUGGUUUUUUGAACUUAGAAUUUCUCACUUUCAAUGAUAUUUUUAAAUCCAUGUUGCAGGGUCAAAUCACUUGAGGUGGUCUUGCUACUUUGCUCCAGAGGCCGCUAAGGAAUGCAUUCACAGAGUUUUGGAGCUUUAUUCAGAUGAGUCUGCUUGGAAAUCAGGGAUAUUGAAACGCUCAGACAAUGUUUUUGAUCCAUGGGCUGGUGUACCAAAGUUAAGUUCCAUUUCUCUUUAAUUCUAUAAACUAAAUCAUAGUCAGUAGACAUUGGGGAGAGCCUUGGAAGAAAAUGCAACCAACAGAAGAGCUUGAUGGAAAUCUCAUUGCAAACACCAAUGAGACCAAUGAACGAGUAUGGUGGAGAGCUCAGGUAACUAAACUAUUGAAUCUCGUUGAUUAUGCCAAAACACGUUAAUGAUCAGGCAUAUCGCUAUCUUCUGCGCUUUCCCAGUGAAUACUUAUGCAACUUACUUAACCAAGCCAGGCAUCGAGCAUUCGGAGUAAAUGCCGCUGAAAAGGUCAUGUUGUCUAUUACAAAAGAUUGGCAGCUCAAUUCAUCCCAGCCAGACGAUGCAAAAGUGUGGGUUCCACGACCCAUCGUGAGCGUGCAUGUAAGGCAAGGGGAUAAAAGCUACGAGAUGACCCUCCAUCCUUUGAAGGAUUACAUGAACCUCGCCAACGCUUUGCGAAGAAAGUUUCCGGAAUUGCACAGCGUGUGGCUCUCCACGGAAAUGCAGGUAAGAACAAUCUCACUUCAAGCAUUGCAAUAAAUCUUGAUGAUCUUGCCUUGAUCAAGACUGUGGUUGACGAAUCCGACGAGUUCACAGACUGGGAGUUCUACUUCACGGAAGUGAGGAGGCAAUAUGGCACAAUGCACAUGACCGAAUAUAUGGAAUCUCUAGGUACCAAGACAGCAUUUGACAACAGCUUUAUCAACUUGGUGAUGGCUCUCGAGGCUGAUUUCUUUGUGGGCGCUUUGGGAUCAAGCUGGAGUUACGCCAUCAAUUGCUUGAGAUUGACUGGUGGCAAACUCAAGGCUGGUUUUCUCACAGUCAAUAUUAAUACAGUAUUAUAGGUUUAUGGUUUAAGGUUUGAAGUUAUAAACCUUAAUAUCCCAAAACAGAGAAUAUACCACAUUUUUUAAAAUGUUAACUUAGAACCUUCUCCUUGCCUAUACAAAGUGGGAAGUUUCCUUUUAGUGUAAAAACAACACGCUGCCAAAUGUAUCUUGGCCUUUAGUGCAUCAGGAAUUGAGAGGUGUGAUAACAUCUUUCCUUCCUCGAAACAACUUGAGGAGUAGAAGUUCAAAGCUCGUGAGAAUCUCUGGCAUUUUGUGCUUCGCUGAGUUGCAAGGAACCUUUUGGAUGGAGAUUCUCAGCCAAAAGAGAGAAGAAACAAUCUAGAAAAGUAGCUGUAAUUGUACGAUAAGCUAUGAUUUCAGGGUCUAUAGACAAUCUAAGUCUUGCAUGGGUCUAUUGGAUCCAUGUUUGUAAUUGAGGGGCGAAUGGAUUUGAUUUUGGGAAUUUGAGGAGCGUUACAUCGGUGGCACUAAAGACAAGCAGCUCGUUUUUAAUCGCGUUGCACCAAAAUCAAGCACGGUGACAUCAAUCGUUUGUCUAGCGAAUAGACAAUUGCUGGGGUUCGUAGCUACAAAGAUGUAGUCAAACUUGUCAUGUUUGUAGGCUCUCAAAGCAAAAACAAAAAAAAAAAAAUAGAAAAGUCUUUUUUUUUCUCCCUUUAAAGGACAAGAAAAACGAAGGUUAUACGAUACAGUCAAUCAUCGCGGCCGCCGCAUUACCACAUAACUUCGCUGUGAAUUUACAAAACUUUGUAAAUCGUUUUCUUUAAGUAGCAGCCGCGCAGGCUUUAAAUACCACACACCAUCGCGGGCGGCCUCUAGCAUUUUCUUCUUCUCUCUCUUUUUUCUAGUGCUUGUGGAAGCGAAGAUUUCCUUGAUCUUGAGAACUUCAAUCUGUUCAUGCAGUCGACUUACAAGUUUCAAGCCAAGAUCACAUUCUAGAACUUUAAAUUUUUUUUUUCUUAUCUGGUCAAGGCUGGAGCAAUGCUCCCACUGCACGAAUGCAAAUGCCAAGCACAUGGGAGAGCUUUAAUGUGUAGAUGUUGAUCUUUGAUGAGCGUUUCAUCUCCAGAUCUUAUUAGUUCUUCCAAUCGUCCUCGCUGCGAAAAAAAAAGAAGCUUGCGAAGUCUCUCUCGUUUUUUUCUUCAUUACUUUCUCACCGUUGCUGGUGUGUUGAUUUCUCCCCUUUUUUUUUCGGCUGACAUGUGUUGUUCAUUCUUCAUAAAAGGCUGCUGUUGCUGCAAGCUGAACAUCGCGGCUGUGCAAAUGGUGGUCUGCCAAGGAAAAAGAAAAAAUAAAUAUCAAAAUAAAAUAAAACAAAGACUCAGCCAGUGAUUGAUUUUCCAUUUUUUCUUUUUCCUUCCCUUCUUUUUCCCAGGAAAAGACCAAACCUGUGAGACCGACUCUUCAUCCAUCCCUCUCUUUUACCCUGUCCCCUCUUCUCUUUCUCAUCUUCUCUUUCAGCUAACUCAAAUCCGUCAUUGCGUAGAAGGAGAUAACUUCGCUCAAGUUUAUGAUCUCCAGACUCAUCGACCUCUUCGUCUCAAAAAUCGGAGAUUUUUGACCGAGAGUGAUAACGAACAGCAGCACUCUCGACUCCCUCUCUCCAACUUGACAAACUCUCUCUAUCGACUCAAUGAAGAAAUCCGGUUGAGAAGUUUUACUCACCUCGGUCGCAAGUUUCCAAUCUUUGUUUUUGCGUUCUCCUUCCUCGUAUUUCUUCGCGGUUGAAUCGCCAAUGGAGGGAAUCACCGACGAGCCACAGCGGCAGAGAUUUGAGCAGGGCUACAGGCUCGUCGCUGGGUGAGAAGCAUUGAAUUUGAGCUCCUGGAAUUUCAGUUCGUAAACGAAAUCUCCUCUUUUUUUUUUCUGUCUAGCUGCAUACCAUAUCGGCUCAAGAAAGGAGGCUCCACUCCCCACGCUGUUGUUGACAAUGUCCGAAUUCUCAUGAUCAGUUCGCUCAAUGGCCAUGGCCUCGUCUUUCCAAAGGUACGCGACUGUUUCUUUCUCGUCUGGUUCCUCACCGCGUUUCAUUGUCUCUCGUUCGUCUCUCUUUCGUCUCUCUUUCGCGUCUUCUUCCAGGGAGGCUGGGAGUUUGAUGAGACUGUCGAGGACGCAGCAUGCCGAGAGGCUGCCGAAGAAGCCGGCGUUCGAGGCCAGAUCAAGGUUCUCAUAGUAGUACACGAUGUUCUUGAAGUUUCUCACUCGAUUCUUGUCUAAAAUCUCCCAGGAAGAGCUCGGUCACUGGAUCUUUGCGAGCAAACGCCACGACAUGGUGUGCACCAAAGGCAACUGCAAGGCAUACAUGUUUGCAUUAGAAGUGACUCAAGAGCUCGAGACCUGGCCCGAGCAGGAGGCUCGACGUCGUCAAUGGGUAAAUGCCUGGAGAGAAGAGGAGGAAUUUGGAAUGAACUCAAACUUAGCUCUCUCUCUCUCGUUCUCUUUCAGUUCACAAUUGCCACCGCCAUUGAGAAAGUCCGUCACGCUUGGAUGCGCGAAGCUCUGGAGAAGUGCCGGGAGUAUUUGCAACAGCAAAUCCGCGAUCAACUGCAACCGACCCCGUGCGUGAGAGCGAUAAAUCCUUUCUAGAAAAACAUAGCUCGCACUUACCGGUCGGAUGCUAACAGUGGUUUUUACUUCCAGGACAGAACGGGACGCCUCUAACAAGUGUAACAUAAUGGAGCGUCUCAAGCAGGCAGGACACCCAGAUCCUAUGCUGGAUCUUGUGGAAGUUGUAGCAUGCAUUGUCAACUAACGAACGUUUGAGAAGAAGAAGGUCACCCCCUUCCCCCCUUUUUUUUCUCCAAGAUGGAUCGAUAAACUCAAGACAAUAAGAUGGAUCACAGGCAUGCAAGCAAUGGAAGUCGUCCUGAGUCAAACGAGAAAAAAACAAGAGUCAUCAAAAGUCUGGUCUGAAAAGCUGUGAAUCUAUGUACUUACUUGUCGCGGAAGUUGCAAAGGGGUGCUGACAGCUACCUUAGGCUCUGAGCGGCGCCUUGAAGCAAUCCGACAAGAACCCCUUCUCCUUCAUGGCCUGUGUGAGCCUGUCAGCCUGGAUGUGCCUCCCUUGCUUUCUCAGCCCAUUCAUGAGCGUGUUGUAGGCAACGUAGUCUGGAGCACAGCCCGAGCCUGUCAUCUGCUGGAAGUAAUCCACCGCUUGGUCGACUCUUCCGGCUUCGAUCAGAGCAUUCACCAGAGUAGUGUACGUCACCACGUCCGGGCUAAACUCUCCGUCCGACUUGACCAUCGACUUGAAAAAGAGAAGGGCCUGCGCGAGCUUGCCUUCCCUGCACAGGCCUGCGAGGACGAUGUUGUGGGGGAGGACGUCAGCCACAGUGCCUUUCUCCACCAUGUACUGGAAAAGCCUCACAGCCUCGUCCGUUCUCUUGUCCCGGCACAGGCCGUGCAUGAGCGUUGUGCAAGUCACUCCAUCUGGAAGAACGUUGUGCUCGCUCAUAACAUCCAGAAGAUCUUUGGCCUCGUCCAACUUCCCUGCCUUGCACAGCCCGUCCAUCAAGAUGUUGAAGGUGACAACGUCCGGAACCAACUUCCUCUCGAUCAUCCUGUCGAAGAGAACUCUGGCAUCGUGCACCUUGUUUGUCUUGCACAGCCCGUUGAGGACAACGCUGUAGCUUACGAUGUCUGGAGCGCAGCCGUUGUCCACCAUGGUCGAGAACAGCUCGUGGGCCUUGUCCACCAAGUUGGUUUUGCACAGCCCGUCCAGAAGGAUGUUAUACGUAACCACAUCCGGCACGGCUCCGAUUUUGCUCAUCUCUUCGAGAACCUUGUGCGCAUCGUCCACCUUUUUGGCCUUGCAAAGCAUAUCGAUGACGGCAUUGCAGAGCAGGACAUCGGGGCUGAACCGCUUCUCGGUCAUUUCCUCGUAGAGUUCGAGGCAUCUAGCCAUGUUCCCCACUCUACAGUGACCCGAGAGAACGAUGCUGUACGUUGCGCCAUUUGGAGCACAGCCGCUAUCCACCAUUUUCUUAAACAUUUCCUCGGCCUCGUCCAUGUUGCUUUUUCUUGCCAACCCCAGCAGUAUCGAGUUGUAAGUCACAGUGUCUGGCAUGUAUCCCUUGGCGAUGACGUCUUUGAACAGCUUCAUAGCCUCGUCUGUCUUCUCAACGCGACAAAAGCCAUCGAUAAGUGUGUUGUACGUAAUCAAGUCUGGAGCGACUUUCCUGUCCGCCAUGUCUUCCAGCAGGCUGACGGCCAGAUCAAACUUCUCGCAUUUUCUAAGCCCGGAGAGAAGAGCGUUGUAAGUCACCACGUCCGGUUUGUAUCCCCUGGCUUUCAGCGCUUCAAAGCAGGCCAAAGCAUCAUCAACCUUCUUCUCCUUGCAAAGGGUCGAGAGAAGUGCCGUUGCUGGGACAGUCUGUGGAACGUGUCCUUUCUCGAGCAUCUCGUUGAGCAUAGUGACAGCUUCGUCCACCUUCUUGGACUUGCAAAGGCCCUCUAUCAGAAGUGAAUACGUUGCCCCCUCGUGGCCAAACUUGCCGUCUCGUAUGACCCCUUCAAAGAACUUGACAGCAUCGUCCACUUUCUUCUCAUUAAAGAGUCCUUGAAGCAUAAUGUAGCAAGUUAGCCUGUCCGGCCUCUCACCCAUGGUCUUGAAAAGACCCCAAGCCUCUGCAACUUUGCCUUCCUUGUACAGAGCGUCCAGAAGACCGUUGUAUGCCACAACGUCGGGACUGUAUCCCCUGGAAGGCAUACUGUCAAAAAACUGCUUGGCCUCACUCACCUUCCCCAUCCUGCAAAGCCCGCUGAGAAUUGUGUUGUAAGUGAUGUUGUCAGGCUCGUAUCCCUUGCUCGCCAUCUCUUCAAGUAGCUUGUAAGCCCGUUCGAUGUUCUCGUCCUUGCAGAGCCCGUUGAUGAGCGCGUUGUAAGCAACAGUGUUUGCCGAGCAGCCCCGUUCAAUCAUCUUGUGAAACAGCUCGUCAGCUUCGUCAACUUUGCCCGCUCUACAGAGCCUGUCCACGAUGAUAGUGUAAGUCGCAACGUCGGGAUUCACACCCUUCUCGGUCAUCUCCUCUACCAUCUCCAAAGCUUCGGUCACCUUCCCCGUCUUACAAAGCCCCGAGAUGAUGGUGCUGUAAGUGACAACGUCCGGCUCGAAGCCUUUCUCGGCCAUCGUCUUAAACAGCUCCAUGGCUUCCUUCAUCUUCGUCUCCUUGCAGAACGCAUUGAGCAAGGAGUUGUAAGUGUAGAUGCUCGGCUCCAAGCCAACAGAAACCAUCUCCUCGUACAACCUGUUGGCGUCGUCAACUCUCCCUUUCUUCGCGUAUCCAUCGAUGAGAAUGUUGUACUCGAUCCCAUCCGGACUUAUCCCAUUGUCUAGCAUCUGCCCAAACAGCUUGUAACCAUCCCGGAGCUUCCCUUGCUUGCAAAAGCUCUUGAGCACCACCCGGAAAGUAUACCUGUUUGGAGAGCACUCUCUCAUGGCCCUGAAAGUCGCGUAGACGUCCUGAUAGAGCUUCAUCCGGAAGAGAAGAUCCAUGAGACAAUUGUACGAGUAAGUACUGUGAGAAAAUCCUGCCUGGUCCUGGCACCACUUGAAGAACUCGAGCGCUAUCUUUCCAUCCUUGAAGCACCGCAACACUCGCCCAGCAAAGCUUCCGGUUAAGUACCUGUCCGUGUACGCUCGGACUUCCUCGAAACCAAUCUCUCCACGCUCUAUCCUUUCCACCAGAAUUUCCAGCUCCAGGGGGCCAUUGCUUGGCAGCUUGAAUGUCUUCCUCACAAAUCCGCUGGUGCUGUAGCUCCGGGACCUGUAAGGCGCCCCCGGAUUUCGGGAGGAGAUAGAGUCGCCGCCUUCCCUGGAUUCGGAUAAUCUCGGCAUUCUCACGGAUUCCUCUCGGUUCGCAUUGCCGCUGCCGCGCUUGUCCAGCGCCACAGCCAGUCGCAGCAUGCUCUUGUCGACGCAGGAGAUCUCCAUGGGGGCAAUCAAAUUUGUCCGAGAUUUUCACCUGCACUGACUACAUUCUACGCUCAAUGCGGAUUCGAGAGACACGAUCGGCCAGAAAUCCAAAUCCUACCUCAUAAGCACGUCCGCGCUCGCGAAAUAUCCCCUUCUACGGGCGCAAGAGCCCUAAUUAAACCCUCUAUCCUCAAUUUAACUAUGACCAAUGAAAAUAUUGUUUUACACGUGUUACACAAAGAAAACGAUUUUUAAUUUAUUAAAAUUUAAUUAAUUAUAUUCUCAUUGGAGCCCUGAAGGAAGUACGAUCUCAUUGGAGCCAUGAAAGAAGCUGAAACAUCAAUAAGGUUUUCAAGUGAAUCCCAACUUACAGAGUUGUCUUCUCCAGAAGUUCUACCCCUUUGAGUUUGGGAUGGAUGCAGAUAGGAUCUACAAGGACCAUGUAUAGGGACAACUUAGCUAUCUAGAGAGCCAUCGAAGAUGCAGGAAUUUCUAACAUGUCUAUAUCAAGGGGCUCAUGCUUGCCAGUUUUGUACAAAUGGAUGGUUUCUUGACUUUCACUCCACCCAGAGACAAGGUUUGGAUGGAGAUCAGAAAGUACCAGUUUUGUUGUUUCUAGAUUAUGCAUUUGUCUCCUUUUACUUUUGCAGAUUCACUAUCAUGUAUCUCUCCAAGGAGGACCUCGCAACUUAGAACACUUAACAAAGCUCUUUAUAUUUGCCCUCCUGAAAAUGCCUUGACAAUGAAUGAGCAAGUAGUAUUGUGGGAAGAAAUGAUCAGGAGCACCCUUGAAAAGAGGUGGAUGAGUGAGGAGGAGGUUCUUUUACACAUCAACGGUGAGAGCUUUCAUUUGCGAGGUCUAUUGAUGGGAUUACUUGGUUUUGCAAACACUCAAACUCCAUUGCAGCUCAGAGAGGUGUGGAUGCACAUCUAUCACAAUGCCACUAUGCACUUUGAGUUGGCUCCGGAUGAUGUUGAAGCCACUGAUUUUUAUCUCGAGGUAGAGGAUCCACAAGUAUAAUGUAUGAUUCCUUGAUUAAUAUGAAGCUCCAACAAUGAGCACUAACUUAUUUCACAUAUCCAACCAAAAGGAAUGAUUUAUUAGAGUUUAGAACUACACUUUUGACAACUUAGAGGAGUCUCACUCACAAUGUUCACAGGUCCUCAUUCUAACUUGGGGGAUUUACUAGCCUAAGAGGUGGCCUUAAAGCUAUAUUGCAUUUUCAUUUGGUCCAAGUGUUCUACAUGUUCAAUCUUAUUAUAAACUUUCAAAGGUAUUAGUGAUAGAUUAGCCCAUUAUGCUAAAGCUAUGUCCAUUUGUACUUGUUUUAUUGAUAGUCUAAAAUCAUUUGUAUUAUGGUUAUAUCUCCUAAAGAUUGGGCCAUUUAUUCAUAAGUGGUUAUCCCAUGACCACCCCUUAGCAUCCCACCCUUAAUAUCACUUGUUCAAUCUCUACUAAAUCCCUCUUCAUUCAUGGUAGUACUUGCUAACACCACCACUAGUUUAAAGCUUAAAGGCCCAUCCAUUAAAUCCCAUUAAUCUCUGGGACUUCCUUACCACAUAACCAUACCUUUAGUCAAUAAACAAGAGGACCACACCUUUUCUUCUCCAUAGUCUGGGAUUUUGGAAUGACAUUUUGAAACACUACAGCCCAAUACAAACUUUGUGGGUAUUGCCCCCACCUUUUGCAUUUAAGGUGACUCAGCCAUGUGGCUAAAACAAAGUUUUAAUGAGCCACACAAGGUAUCCAAGUAAGUAGUGCCACCCACAUUUGGAUUGGUUACGUAGUGCCACCCAUAUUUGAAUUAGUCACGUUGGCCUUUCCUAACUAAAUUGGUUCGAUUAGAAUCUAACCCCCACACUCCCUACUAUACUUUGCCCCCCCACCCCUAUUCUAAGUUCUCACCCACAUAUUUAUUUGCUAGAGUUCCAUUUCAGCCACUACUAUGUGGCAUAUUUUCAGCUCCACAUUAAGGCUUAGGGAUUUGUGUUUUACAACCCCCUUUACUAGUUGGCUAAAGCUCUUGGGAUAUAUAAAUUGGAAAAAAGUGUUAAGAUAUAUAUUUGAGUAGUAUUAGGCUAGAUUACCUCUUGAGAAGUCUAAAUUUAGAGGUUUAUAUUAAUUUGUUAUCACAUUUUUUAUUUAUAUUUACAUCAUGUAGUAGAGCCAGUCUUAACAACAACUAUACACAUAUAUGUAUGCAAGAUGAGGUAGACCUAAUUAUGCAUGUGGGUGAUUUUGAGAUUGAAUUAUAACUAUUGUGGGUGGUGCUUAGUCAAGCUUUUGACUUUUUCUUUAGUAUAAAUUGAUUGUAACACAAUAUAGUGCAUGUGGUUUUCACCCUUUAUCCUAUGACGAUUUACCAUAGGAUAACGAUAGAGCGAAACCUAAACCCUCAAUAUGCCAUGUGCCACAUACUAUGUGUCCAAAGAUGGUAGAGCAAAACCCGAGUUUUAAAGCCUUUGGCCAAUGAAUAAAUGAAUGGAGCCAAACUUUUAAGUAUGGAGCCAAGGAGUGAAGGUAUUGGAGCACAAAGCGACUCCGAGUGUAUACCCUAAAGAGCGAAAAGAUAGAAGCACAGAGCAACUUAGAAUGAUUCUAGAGUAGUCAGCAUCCCAAUGUCAGGACUAAUCCACAAAAUGAAGCCAAAUGAAGCCUAGCACUAUUUCAAUAUACUGAUGGCCUAAUGUGAGGAUAUAAGUACUCUACCAGCUAGCAUGGUGUGGAAUUUGGGUUUAUACCCAAACCAGACAUAAAACAACAAUAAGCACACAAGUAAGAGCUAAACUAUACCCUCAACCUACCCACUAACCCCCUCUAGGAACACACGUUUUGGGUUUUCACUUUUAGUCACCCUUAGUACUAGGAGUUAGUAACUCAAAACUUACUAAAUAUGGAAUGACACUAAAUUGAGAAUUUGGGUAUGGAAUGAAUACUAUUAUGUUCAAAACAAUCUUUACAUUCCAUAAAUAUGCCAAAUUAGCAAAUUUAGAUACUUUCUAUAAAUAACAAUUAAGCAUGGAACUAAUGGAACUAACACAAGAUGCAUGAUAAUGAGGGUGUUUGCUAGAUACAGUAACCUAUCAUUUUGUGAAUAUUGAGGGACUAAGCUCAAUAUCACAAAGGCUCUUAACACUUGUAAGUGCAAGUUAACAAAUGAGUUUCUCUAACUAGGUAAAGUAUGUUUGACUAAUAGUACUUAGGAAUUCCGUCUUUAUGCUCUUUUGGUCAAGUGCACAUGCAAAAAUUAAUUUCUCAAGUAGUCUAAGUGGAAACUAAAAAAGGGUCUAGCAAUACCAACCUCUUACUAUUGUGGCAAUAAGGAAAGAAUAUAUAAAAGAACUAGCUAACAAGUAACUUUCAAUACCUAUAGUCACAUUUGUGACACUCUUCCCCUUUUAAGAAAGAUUGAUAUUUUUGUCGAUGCAUAUUUUAGUUUAGAUCACUGCCAAGGAAACAACUUUAGAAAAAGUUCAAAGUGAUCACAUUAUGUGAAAAAUGCACCAACUUAAAUGAGUUAAGGUAACCUUUCCAUCUAACGUAAAUAUGCUACAACUUAAACACAUUCCUGCCGUUAUUGACAAGGAAAUGAUCAACAGAGUUAGCCACCCUUGCUACUCUAGGUGUCACCCGGCUUAUAAAAGAGUGAUGCAUCCUUGCUUACAGGUGAUAUAAAGAGAGAAGCUAAAAGCCCUAACCCUCAUAAGCAAAGAAACCAAAUCUAUUAAUAAAGUUUAGAUAUACUACUAUAAACAUAUAGUUAGAGUUGUUUACACAGUCAUGGAAAGGUGGGUGAUAUGACUAGUCGAUAGUAGCUACCCCAUGACUAGAAAUUUCACUAUGCACACAAAGUGUCAAAGCUAGUCUACUUAUACUAGCUCAAAUUGAAAGAUCAAAAGAUGGAAAAUAUUAAAGUAAAAAACAAUAAUAGCUUAGAGACUUAAUUAUCAGUGAAUAAAGCUUAUAUUAGAACACGAAAGUAUUCCAAGUAAGUUAUUAUUUGAUAAACAAGAAUUAUUGUAUAAGACCCACUAAGAUUAUCAUAAUUGGAAAAUAUAGAAUUCACUAUCCAACAAAAUUCAAUAGCAAGUGUACCAUAAAAAAAACUUAAUGAUAAAACUUAAUUAUCAAAGAUUGUAGAAAAAACUUACAAAAGAUAACUAAAAGAACAUAAAGUAUCAUCGACUAGUAAGUAAAAUGUUUGUGAAUGUAUCACCUAAAGGAAAUAAUAUCUAAACAUAUCAAAACCAACUGUAACAAUAAUUAAUAGAAUAGAAUGAAUGUCAUAAAGCAAACAAACACUUAUUCAUACCAAUUAUCGCACCAACUAAUUUGAAUAGAUCUCAGUCAACCAUACUAUUAGGAAUCCCCCAAUUCUUGCCACAUUCUUGACUUUUGCCAGAUUCCUGACCUGCAAACCACAUUCCUGACUCUCGAGACACUUUUCUAUUCCUCACCCUUUGAUUUCCAGUACGAUUCUUGAGUCUCGAGCCACAUUCCUGAUGAUGAUGUGGCGCCUCCUCGACCUUAGCUAUAUUUAAGCUGUCCUCGAUCCAAGAGUGGUGGAGCUUCAUCAACUUAUAGUAUAUAUAGGUUAGCCUUGUUCCAUUUCUCACAAUUUGAAUCAACGCUAGUCUAAGGCCUCUUCUUUAUUUCCACUAGUUUUUCUCUUUGUCUUCUGUAUUUUCUAGUCUUGAUCUUGUUGGGGGUCUUGACAGUUUAAUUCAGAUUAUGCUUUUUUGUUUUUGCUUUAGCUCGUUUUGAUUGUUUGACUGCCUUGCCUUUUUCCCCCUUUUCUUUCUUCUUUGCCAAUGGAGUCUCCAAGCCAUCCUGAUUUAUUUGCCGAAGUCCUUGCAAAAAUUUAGUUUGAGAAUACCAAGCUAAAGGCGACCCUUCUUCACAUGCAACAGGAGCUUGCUUCACUUUUCGCUCAAGGAUCAAGCAAAGUUCCUGAACCGAAGGUGAGUUUCCCAGCGAAAUUUUCAGGCAAGUGUUCGGAGCUUCGUGGAUUCCUGAACCAAAUGGAGUUGAUCUUCGCAUUUCAACAUCGGCGGUACCCCACUCCCAAGUCUCAAAUCGGCAUGAUUGGGACAUUGCUUGAAGGUGUAGCUUUGUCAUGGCUUUCUUCUUUCCUGGAGAAGAGCAUGAAAGGGGUUGUGGUUUCGGAGCUGAUGGAUCUUCAAUUGUUCAAAGAGAAGCUCGAAGCAUGUUUUGGCGAGACGGAUCAGGUUCGGGUUGCCACCACAAAGAUGAGACGUCUCUCUCAGGGGUUUUGUCCUGCCUCGAUCUAUGCUGCAAAGUUCCAACUCCUUGCCUUGGACACUCAGUGGGAUGAGCAGCCCUGAUUGAUCAAUUUCAUUUUGGCCUCAACAACGGUGUCAAGGAUUUAUUGCUCACCAUGGAGGAUCCCACGGACCUGUCAAACGCCAUCAACAAAGCUAUUCGAUGUGACAUUCGUCUCUUUGAACACCGUCAAGAAAGUCACCGUGCCGCUGUUUUCCCAUCCCAGACUCAGGAAUCCCAGCUUGAGUCUUCGGGGCAUACUCCUGAACCUACUACUCCAGUUCCGAUGGAUAGUUCUGGUACUCCUUGACUCAUCACAGGGGAGUUGAGUCCUACUGAGAAGUAACAUCGAAUAUCUCAUAAUCUUUGCCUCUACUAUGCUGAUCCUAAUCACAAAGCAAUUGUGUGUCCCAAGAAGCCUCCCCGAUUGCUCGAGUUCACUCUGCCUCAAGGUCCACCUCUGUUGUAGUCGGGAAACGACCCUGUCCAAACAAAGUAGGAGCUGUCUGUUUGGACUCCCCAAAUAAAAAUCACUUUUCUUCUUUAUCAAGCUCCUCACCACCUUUCAUCAAAGCCACCACCAAUUCCCGCAACUUCUGCAUCCUAUGUCUCCUUUCUUUCACCAAAUAAUCAGGACUCAAGGCUCUGGUGUUAUUGGACUCGGGUGCAACUUCCUGCUUCAUGGACACGGACUUUGUUGCCCGACAUCACGUUCCUCUUUUUCCUACCAUACAGGAUCUGAGGGUUGAAGGCAUUAGUGGGCAUUUUGUGUUUCCAUUUUCUGGACUUAGGGAAAUGUUGCUCAUUUGAGUACACAUCAGGUCCACUGUCACCGAUAUCACCUUCAACAUCAUUAACAUCAAGUCCUCCUCUAUGGUGCUUGGCCUCCCUUGGUUCCAACUACACCAGCCUCAGAUUUGUUGGAAGGAAUUGCAGCUCAUCUCUCCUAUGUCACCAUCUCCCACGGCUUCCCCUGCUGUUCAUCGAGUCCGAAUUAGGAAAAGUUCCCUAAACUCAAAUUGGGGUUUUGUUCCUGACGUUACAAAGUUUUUACCCUCUUCUUUUUCCUCUUUUCCAUCUUACACUGGAUAGUUGUCGCGCAUGUGACUUCGGGUAUCAAAAGUUACCUGUCGACCUGUCCUUACGGACACUCUUACCUUAUUGCCACGAUGGCAGGAGGUCGGUAUUGCUGGACCCGUUAUUAGUCUCCGCCUAAGCUAGUUGAGAAACUGGUCAUCACAUGUGCACUUAGACCGGAAGGGCACUAAGGAAGGAAAUCCUAAGUUGUCAUUUAGUCAAGCAGACUUGACACGGUGAUGAGAAACUCAUGAUGUUGGCUUGCACUUGCUAGUGUUGGGAACCCCCGCGAUAUUGAGCUUGGUCCCUCAAUAUCGCUACAUGAUAGCUUACCGUGUCUGCCAAACACCCUCGCUAUCAUGUCCUUUGUGUUAGUCUCAUUUUGGUCCCAAAUGCUAUUUAUGGAAAGUGUCCAGAUUUGCUCAUUUGGCAUAUCUACGGAAUGUAGAGAUUGUCCUGAACACAAUGGUGUUCGUCCCAUGCCCAAAUUCGCAAUCUAGGGACAUUCCAUAUUUAGUAAGUUUCGAGCUUGUCCCAGAGACUAACUCCUGAUACUAAGGGAGGCUUGGGGUGAAAGCCCAAAGCGUGUGUUCCUCAAGGGGGGGGGGGGCUAUGGGGGGUUCCAAAUGUAUAGUAGGGAUAGUGGGUAGGUCGGGCAUGGCCGACCAACCUGAGGCAUAGUCUAGCUCCCGCUUGCGUGCCUGUCCUUGUUCUGCGUCCGGCUUGGGUCUAAGCCCAAGUUCCAUUCCAUGCUAGUGUAAGAGACUAAAUUUUCCAUUCUACUUUAGUCACUUAACCACACCACCGACCACUUGGAGGAGUCUCAUUCACAACCUCCAUAAGUCCAAUCCAGGACUUGGGACUUGCUAGCCCCGAGAAUGGCAUCCAUGCCACUCAACAUUUGCACUUGGUCCAAGUGCUCCACGUGUCCGAUCCCAUGACCGACACUCAAAGGUACCACCGACAUGCCAGCCCGUUACGCUAAGGCCAUGCCCAAUCACCUUUGCCACACUGGUAGUCCAUUACCACUUGCAUCACAGUCUUGGCUCUCCAAGACUAGGCAAACCAUCCGUGAGUGGUCAUCUGAGAUCCACUCCUUAGCACCCUUAGGAUGCCCACCGACAUGGGGAAUAGCCUUCCCCAAUAUCCCUCUGUCAGUCCCCACUAAGUCCCUUUCUGCCCCUGGCCGUGUUUGCCAACACUGCCACUUGAUCGAGACCCACAGGCCCGACCACUAAGUCCCACGGUCCUCUGGGACUUCCUCACCACACAACUGUGUCCUUGGUCACUACCCCAGAGGACUGCUCCUCUUCCUUUCCACAGUCUGGGCCUUUGGGGCAACAUUUCGGAACACCGUGGCCUUACGCGAGCCACCUGGGUACUCUCCUCGCCUUCUGCCCUUAGGUGCUCUAGCCAUGGGCUUAGAGCGAGGUUCCGUUGAGCCACGCCUGGUAUCCAAGUAGGUAGUGCCACCCACACUUGGACUAGGAGCAUCGGCCAGUCGAUCUCCCGGGGGAACUAGAGCCGGCUCUUGAACACUUCACCAAGCUACCCCGCUUGUCAGUCCGUGUUCACUCUAGUCUUGGACUUCCCAGUGGGCAGCUCAUCACCCAACACUGGGUCCGGCCUUCCUGGGCCAAACUGGCCUUUCCUUGCCAAACUGGCUCCACUGCAGUCCUCCCCCUACUAUACUUUUGGAGCUCACCAAACCCCCCAGGGUCUGGGAGACGAACGCUUUGGGCUUUCACCCUCUCAGGCUCCGGACUCGGACUCGGACUCGGACUCGGACUCGGACUCGGACUCGGACUCGGACUCGGGCUCGGUCUCGGCCUCGGCCUCGGCCUCGGCCUCGGUCUUUGGUCCCGAUCUCGGUCUCGGUCUCGGUCUCGGUCUCGGUCCCGGUCUCGGUCUCGACUUCGGACUCCAUCUCGGACUCCAUCUCGGACUCCAUCUCGGACUCCAUCUCGGACUCCAUCUCGGGUCCAUCUCGGACUCCAUUUCGGGUCCAUCUCGGGUCCACCUCGGACUCCAUCUCGGACUCCAUCUCGGACUCCAUCUCGGGUCCAUCUCGGACUCCACUUCGGACUCCAACUCGGGCUCCAUCUCGGGUCCAUCUCGGACUCCACUUCGGACACCAACUCGGGUCCAUCUCGGGUCCACCUCGGACUCCACUUCGGACUCCUUCUCGGACUCCAUCUCGGGUCCAUCUCGGACUCCAUCUCGGACUCCAUUUCGGGUCCAUCUCGGGUCCACCUCGGACUCCAUCUCGGACUCUCCCACGUGUCAUGUGUUGGCCCUUUUGGGUCCCUUUUUGGAGCCUCGCCUUUUGCUCGCUUCGUGCUCGUUCCUCGAGCACUUCGUUGGGAGUUCCACUCCCGCUCUUGACUUUUCAAGUCGGAGCUUUUGGUCCAAACGUGUUACACUCGUUCGGCUCUUGCUUCGGCCACUACCAUGUGGCGCCCUUCCGGCUCCACUUUGGGGCCUAGGGAUUUUGUGUCUCACAACUCCACCACCCAUAGACGAAGUUCGAUGUCCUCAUCGAACGGUAAACCAUUUUAUAAAGUAACGCCCGCACGUGUUACCAUUUCCAUCCUUGGCACCUAGCCAAUAUUUGUCAAGGGUUUGACAUUGAAGGCUCACCAUGCCUUUUGCAUAUUCUUCAAUGGUUUGACACCAAAGGCUCACCAUGCCUUGCCCAUCCUCUAAGGAGGGUAGUCUCUCCAACUUAGAGACUGAUUGGACCAUAUGUAGUGGUUCUCUCCUUUUAUUGGUUUAGUUCCCGCUAAACCUCUUAGAGACCCUUCUCUAAGUCAAUCCCAAUACUCCUUCUAGAGUAAUCUCAAUUUCCAUCUAUUGAGCAUUUUGCACCUUGAAACUUUUACCCUUUUGACUUUUGGAAGUCAACUCCCUAGGUGUCUCCAACACCUUGCCUUGCACCUUUUGUGCAACUCCACUUCCCAUCCUAGGAAGUUCUCUACUCGAGGGCACCAUCAUCCUCUCUUCUAUUUCGUGCCAAAGUUCCAGUUAUCAUACUUUGUGCUAGGGCUGUUCAUGGCCCUAUCAUUUGGCUACCUUACCGCUCCCUCCCUUGGAGCUUCCACUUUCGCCAAAUCGGAGCAUUUUGGAAUCCCUCCUUGGAAACACACUUCCUUUCCCGCAACUUGUUAGCGUCCAACACAUUAGUGUUCCUCGCCUAACUUUGUCACUUGGAUUCCUUCCAAGGGAUUCCACGGCCCUAUCUUGGCCACUCAUCUUUUGCUCCUAUCCGUUGAUUGUUGCACCAAGCAACAUCGAAUCUCUACCUCCCUCCUUGAGGUAUUGUUUCGGUUCCAUAGCAAAGACUCUUCUUUGCUAAGUCCGGAAGACGUUCACCCCUAGUAAGUCUCUUUUAGCAUCUUCUGCUAUGGGCUCUAUCCACGGCCCAACUUCGUGACCCUCCCAUGGGUCUUUUAUAGAGACUACUUUCCUCGGACUCACUAUGCCAUCACACGGACAUAGUUUGUUUCCCUUAGGUGCUCUUCCCACUUGGUCAUCACGACCAAGCCACACCACCUUAAACAGUUCAAUUUCAACAUUUUGAACCAGGAACUUCAUUCCUUAGCCAACCAAGGACCUUGUCCUUAUCUGGCCAUAAGAUCACCUAGUGAUCUCACCUUGGCACCUUAACAGGGUUGCCAAGAGGUACUUGGUCUUCUAGACCUCCAAGUUGUUGACUAUAACCCCGGGGGCAUCCCCCACACUUGGCGGUGCACCCAAGCUAGCCCUUACGGCCAAGGGUUCAUAGCAACUGAGAUUAGGUGUCCCCAUCUCACUCACCACGACCUUGGUGCCACUUGCACCAAAGUGUUCAAGUUAGAUAUGCUGAGCUUUCACACUAAGCAAUCUAACCGUGCAUCACGACUCCGAGGCAUCCCUCGCUUGGCGGUGUGCCCAAACCAGUCUCCCCACUGAGAGUCCAUGACCACCGAAAUAUGAGUGUCCUCAUAUUCCAAACCAUCACCACGCCCUAGUGAUUUGGGACUCGAACCCAAGCACUAGAGGGUCGGGACUCGAACCCAACCUCCGUAUAUGCAUCUACGGACGGCAUCACACAAGAUGCCUGGCGUGACUCCCCACGCCGGUGCACCAACUUAUUUUUAAAGCGCGCUACAGAUCACAGCUUAGGAACUUAGUUCCUCCACACUGCCAAGUCCUCUCACUUGACAUGUCUGUGAUCAUGCAUGGACUCCUCCAUGCUCGGCCCCAUGGCCCCCCCUUUUUGAAGUUAUCACCUUCAACUAGGGUAUUUGUUCCCCCGACGUGCCAAUCUCGCUUGGCAAGUCCUCCGACCACUGUAACAUGGUUCCUGCAUAAGCAUGAAAGUCCUUGACCAUCGACUUCCGUUCAAAGCCCUCUCUUUGAACACUCGGGAACUACUUCCCUAACCUUGAUAGCCUUGCCUCAUGGCAAGCUUCAAGACCACGCUUCUACUGCGCCACUCUGAUUUCGCGCGUUCCAUGAACCAUUUACACUUGGCCUUUCUAGGUACUAAGCUACCUAGAAUCGUCUUUGGGAACCUUAAAGGGACUCUGUCCCUCAGCUUGCUAAGGCCUCCCUUUUUGCAAGCCUUCCAAAUGCCACAUAGUCUAACAUGGACAAUUCCAUAUUUUAGACUCUCCAUGGCAUCACGGUUGCUAGCGGCAACACCCUCGAGCCCCCACUUGAUUCUCCACUCCCAGCUAGCAUAACCAACCUUGGUUAUGCCCUUUGAUUUCUACGGUUCGGUUCUAUCCCCUUACUUCUUGCUUUUUUUUGGCUUCACACCUUUCCUUUGGUCAUUCUCCUCAAGAUCAGGAGGAUAGUUUUGCACUUUCUAUCAUGCUUUAGCAAGUAUUCUUAGGGAUGAACCUACCCAAUAGCCUAGGGAGUGGUUCCUCAAUCCGGGUAUGCUCACCUUAUAAUCCCACACACUGGGAUUACAUUGUUGCUUAUGGGCCUUUACAUGCCCAUCACUAGCUUUGCCAAAAUUCCAUUUUUGGCUUUGUCCAACUCGGGUAGACAGUCUUCUCCUGUCUCCGCAACCUUGGACAUUUGGAUAGCACCUUCUAUCCAUCAUUCGCUAGGGACUUAGUCCCUUGGGCUUUAUCCAUUGCCCUCGCGACAUCAAACACCACCUUCUGGUGUUCUAGAGUGUUCGGGUGUCCCAAUGAUGGCUUUCUUGACAAUGAGUAUUUCCUUUUAUGACAUUGACUUACUAUAUCGCAACACAAGCAACUUAUCCCCCGUAAGGGUAUAUCCAACUUCCCUAUGCUAUUAAGAAGUCUUGGGUAGCUACCUUCUACCCAUUUAACCAGUUAUUUUGCACCUCUUGCUUAGUUGCCUCAUAGUUGUCAAGUCCUACAACUCAUUGCUUGGUGCUUUCACACCUCCAUCAUUAUCUGGGUCACCACACUCCAACUGCAUGUUCUGCAGCUUAGGCUAUGCUAUUCCCAUUUCCAUUGGGAUUCCUUUGGCAAGGGGUUCUCAUUAACCCACCAACAUAGCCUCAAGGUAUCACACCUUGGCACAUUUGGUGUCUCCACACCAUUGGCUCCACGAGCCUACUUCUAUGACAUUUCCCCUUCGUGUCUAAGUCUUUGCCAAGACCAACACCGCUCUUUCUCAUGCCAACCAUCCGUUAGCACUGCACCAUAGAGGUCACAUACAACUUUAUGUCAAAGUUGUUUUCUUCUGGGAACACCUUUCCCAUAACUUUAGCAUGGCACAUUUUGCCAUCGAUGAGAUACCCUCUAUUCUCAUCCUUGGAUCCUAUGAUCCCCCCCCCCAUCCUUCGUGGGGUACAACACACCUCAGUCCAAAUGCUUCCAUCAGUCCUUUUAGGACCAUCCGUUGACUCUACUUGAGUCAUCCAGCAGUUUUGGACUUGGUUAAUCCACAGACCCGUAAGGUCCUACUUGUGAGGCACUAGCUCACUGGAAUACACUUCUUGCAUUCCUGUCCUACUCAAAAGGACUAUUUUCACAAGUGUUACUCCGACACUUGAUUUUGUUCUCUGGGGGCAACCUUUGCCCCUUAGGACUACUUGUCCAUGUGAUGAGAACACCAACUCAUCCACUUAAUACACCCCCAACUCCUUGGGUUGUUCCAGCAUUUAUUAGAGGUAGCCCCGGCUACCUUUUCAAGGACUUGAGUCCUCUUCCGUAUUUGACCUCCCACGGUCAUUACUUCUGGUCUCACAUUCAUGAGCACCAACCUCAACUAUAUGAGGGAAAUCUUGUGACUCCUUUAUUGCUUUGGAGUCUUUAUCUUUCCCGUGAUCCCAACUGUAGUUGUUUACCACAACUACAUUAGCCAGUUUGCUAAGUCAAACGCUCAUCUGGAUCACAUCCUCAACUCUCUGAGGAAAACCAUAUAUUGUUCCCAAGAUCCCAAAGUCGUUCCAUUAUUGGCCCUUUUCUAUCCACCAUCUCGCCUACAAGUUCACACAUGAACUGUAGUGGAGAGCCAUGUCUUCCCGACCUGCUACUCCUCAAGGAUAGGCCCACUCCUAGGACCUUUCAAUGCCAACACCCGUGGUGAUAUACUUGAGCACCAAUAAAAGUCGGACUAAGGAACUGCUCCGAUACCAAAUUGUAAGAGACUAAAUUUUCCAUUCUACUUUAGUCACUUAACCACACCACCGACCACUUGGAGGAGUCUCAUUCACAACCUCCAUAAGUCCAAUCCAGGACUUGGGACUUGCUAGCCCCGAGAAUGGCAUCCAUGCCACUCAACAUUUGCACUUGGUCCAAGUGCUCCACGUGUCCGAUCCCAUGACCGACACUCAAAGGUACCACCGACAUGCCAGCCCGUUACGCUAAGGCCAUGCCCAAUCACCUUUGCCACACUGGUAGUCCAUUACCACUUGCAUCACAGUCUUGGCUCUCCAAGACUAGGCAAACCAUCCGUGAGUGGUCAUCUGAGAUCCACUCCUUAGCACCCUUAGGAUGCCCACCGACAUGGGGAAUAGCCUUCCCCAAUAUCCCUUUGUCAGUCCCCACUAAGUCCCUUUCUGCCCCUGGCCGUGUUUGCCAACACUGCCACUUGAUCGAGACCCACAGGCCCGACCACUAAGUCCCACGGUCCUCUGGGACUUCCUCACCACACAACUGUGUCCUUGGUCACUACCCCAGAGGACUGCUCCUCUUCCUUUCCACAGUCUGGGCCUUUGGGGCAACAUUUCGGAACACCGUGGCCUUACGCGAGCCACCUGGGUACUCUCCUCGCCUUCUGCCCUUAGGUGCUCUAGCCAUGGGCUUAGAGCGAGGUUCCGUUGAGCCACGCCUGGUAUCCAAGUAGGUAGUGCCACCCACACUUGGACUGGGAGCAUCGGCCAGUCGAUCUCCCGGGGGAACUAGAGCCGGCUCUUGAACACUUCACCAAGCUACCCCGCUUGUCAGUCCGUGUUCACUCUAGUCUUGGACUUCCCAGUGGGCAGCUCAUCACCCAACACUGGGUCCGGCCUUCCUGGGCCAAACUGGCCUUUCCUUGCCAAACUGGCUCCACUGCAGUCCUCCCCCUACUAUACUUUUGGAGCUCACCAAACCCCCCAGGGUCUGGGAGACGAACGCUUUGGGCUUUCACCCUCUCAGGCUCCGGACUCGGACUCGGACUCGGACUCGGACUCGGACUCGGACUCGGACUCGGACUCGGACUCGGACUCGGACUCGGGCUCGGGCUCGGUCUCGGCCUCGGCCUCGGCCUCGGUCUCGGUCUUUGGUCCCGAUCUCGGUCUCGGUCUCGGUCUCGGUCUCGGUCCCGGUCUCGGUCUCGACUUCGGACUCCAUCUCGGACUCCAUCUCGGACUCCAUCUCGGACUCCAUCUCGGGUCCAUCUCGGACUCCAUCUCGGACUCCAUUUCGGGUCCAUCUCGGGUCCACCUCGGACUCCAUCUCGGACUCCAUCUCGGGUCCAUCUCGGACUCCACUUCGGACUCCAACUCGGGCUCCAUCUCGGGUCCAUCUCGGACUCCACUUCGGACACCAACUCGGGCUCCAUCUCGGGUCCAUCUCGGACUCCACUUCGGACACCAACUCGGGUCCAUCUCGGGUCCACCUCGGACUCCACUUCGGACUCCUUCUCGGACUCCAUCUCGGGUCCAUCUCGGACUCCAUCUCGGACUCCAUUUCGGGUCCAUCUCGGGUCCACCUCGGACUCCAUCUCGGACUCUCCCACGUGUCAUGUGUUGGCCCUUUUGGGUCCCUUUUUGGAGCCUCGCCUUUUGCUCGCUUCGUGCUCGUUCCUCGAGCACUUCGUUGGGAGUUCCACUCCUGCUCUUGACUUUUCAAGUCGGAGCUUUUGGUCCAAACGUGUUACACUCGUUCGGCUCUUGCUUCGGCCACUACCAUGUAGCGCCCUUCCGGCUCCACUUUGGGGCCUAGGGAUUUUGUGUCUCACAGCUAGUUGGUGGAGUACCCAUAUCCUCGCGUUAGGCCACCGGUAUGCCGAAAUAGCGCCAGACUCCGUUUGGCUCCGUUUUGCGUGUUGGUCCUGGCAUUGGGAUGCUGGUUGCUCCAGGACUGUUCCAAGUCGCUCCGGACUCCCGUCCCUUCGCUCCUUGGGCUUCAUGCUCGGGAGUUGCUCCGUGGUUCGGUUUUGUCACUCCUCGGCUCCAUGCUUGGGAGUUUGGCACCGUUCCUUCGUUCAGUGGCCCAAGGCCCUGAACCUCGGGUUCCUGUGGACACGUGGCAUGGACACGUGGCAUGUGACACAUGGCAUCUGUCACGUGGCACAAAGAGGGUUUAGGUUCCGCUUCGUGGUGUUAUCCUAUGGUAAAUCACCAUAGGAUAAAGGGUCAAAACCACGUGCGCUACAUUUGGUAUCAGAGGAUGAGUCUCAGCGAGUACUAUUCAAUGAGAUUGGGCAACUAGUCUCGUUGCAUACGCAGAGAUGAAAACGAUGAUCCAAGUGGGUACACGUUUGGUGCAAAGGGUUCACAUUUGUUCCUUGGGUAUGGAUUUGGUUACCUUGUUGUACCUUAUGAUGUGAGCUUGCUCUUGGGCUCAUAAGAUGGAUUGAGUUGUUCCGUUCGCACGAGUUUGCGUUUGGGCUCGUGAGUGAGGCACAUUAGCAACUCAAGGUUACACUUUGAGUUGGCAAAAUUAAUGUUAGCCUAUUGGUGGUUCCAUGAGUUGUUCCAUGUACCGUGAGUGAAAGCAAACCUUCCCUGAGUUUGCUAUGAGUGGCAAAUAGGCUGGUCCGUAGCUAUUUAGCACGGCACUAGUGGAUCCUUCCUAGGCAUGAUUACAAGUGGAUCAAUCAAGACUGUAGGGAUUAGUCUAUUGGUUCAAGUAAUCAUUGCCGUGCUCUCUUAUAAACUUUUCUUGGAUUGGACUGAAGGCAGUGUGAACGCAAGCUUGAGGUGUAGUCAAAGAUGAGACUGAAAAGAGAGUCGUCGGGGACGAAGGAUCAAACACGUAAAUCAUCUUCUCUUUUGGAGAGAUGAUUUGCAACGAGGUGUGACUCAUUGCUCGUGUUCACAUUAUGCAAUCAAGAGUCCCUAUCUUGAUGCAUGUUGGAGGUGAUGGUCUUACAAGUGGGGUGAGUCAUGGGAUGGAUAGUGGUGAAGCACUAUACCAUUUUGUCUAGACUCGCUAUUGGAAGACUUGAGUUGCAAUGCUCAAUUCUUUUUCUAAGAACCUUGCUAUUGCUCCUUGAGUAGCUUGGUGUUGGAUUAGUGUUGAGUUUGGUCAAAAAGAGAGUGGCAUGAGUUUGUCCUUGUUGUGAACAAAAGUUAGUGGUGCUGAGUGUUGUAAAUCUCUAUCGGUGGAGUGUAGCAUUUAUGUUGCAUUUUGUCGAAUCGAGUUUGCAUUUGAUACUCACAUAAACCUUUGAAGUAAUGACAUAGACAUUACUCGUGGUGUUGCUCAAUUGAUGAUCAAGUCAUUGUGAUUUCUAUAUCAUAUCCAUGUGAUAAUGAGCAAUGUGUUUACGAAGUUGCUUGGUUAAAUGAUGAUCAACCCCAAAGUGGUUGAUAGUGAAGCUAAUCUACUUGCAAGAAGUAUCAUUGUAGUAGCUUUGACGGGAUUCUCGAUAGUGGUCCAUUAUGCUAAGCUUAAGUUGGUACGUUGUUCCUUGAGGGUUUGCCCAUAAGGUGUUGGAAAAAGGGUCGUAGCAUUCAUUUGCUAUAGCUUAUAAGUUGAUUCGUUAACACUUGGAGUAGAUCGUUGGAUGGAGAAGGUGUGUAGUUGAGGCAUUGACAUCGCUAACACUUGUGUUAGUGGAAGUGGCAUUGUUAUUUCAAGUGAUGAGGAUUUUCCUUAGAGCUUGAUUUUCUAUGUCAUUUUUCUUGUUAGUGUUUUAGCUUCACAUUGGAUCUUGAAGGUGGUUGAAGAAGAGUGUUAGUGCAAUGUGGAUAUCCGAAGAUGUGGUCUUUGUGAUCAAGCCUUGGAUGUUCACUUUGCAUUUUACGGAUGUCGGUGUUGGAUGUUGAAAGAAUGGGCAAAAAGAUGUUCGAGGCUUAAGCAUACUAUGGGUCAUGAGAAUUUGUGUUGAGGUGAACCUAUGUGAAGUUGUUAGUAGGAGGAAGUUGGUUGAGUCUUGAAAGUUUGUAUUCCUGGACUGAGAGUCAUUCUUUCUCUAGGAUGGAAAAUUUUUCACAAAUUUUCUUAGACUUUUCCAAUGGCUGAUCUGUUAUCACUUUGUUCGAAAACCAUUCCGUUUUCGUAAGCCAGUACAAACUAGUGAAGGGGUUGGAGUUGACUUCGGUUGGCUUAGAUCUUAGUAGGUAGUUUGUAUGAUGCAACCCGAAAAGGAUGGUAACUUUUGGGGCUAAGGCAAUUGAGUUGGAUAGAGUCUGGAGUUAGUGUAGAAAAGUGGCCAUUGCACUUUUCUAGAAAGGUGACCCUUGUGCCUUUCUUUUGUAGCGUUAUGCUUGGUGGCAAGUUGCACUUUGCAUUUUGUUAGACUCUAUGAGAGUAGUUAGCUCUCACUGAUCUUGAUUUGGUCUUGGUGGCUUUGCGCCUUGGCUAAGGAUAGUGAUGUUCAACUUAGUUGUUUGAGUUUGAGAUGUUGGUACCCGUACUGUAGCUUUGUCUAUGAGGAGGUUGUGUACCGAUAUGGAUCCAUCUCAUGGUCUUCACUUUAGUUUCAGCUGAGUGUUGAACAUGCAUAGCUAGCCUCUUCAAGGCAUGCUCAGAGCUAGUGACUAAAUGCAUUGGUGAGCUUAUCGCGGUUGAGUUGGAUUCGAGUGGUCAUUUAGUUCGUGCUUGUCUAUGAAACUUUAUCUCGUACCUGAGGUAUCACAUUCAUGUUGGACAAGUGUAUGACUAAAUGACGUGAGUUUAGUGUUUCGAUCUCGUGAAAGCAAGUUGAAAAAGUGAUGGUUAGUAGCUUUGCGACUAAUGAUUGCUUAUAGACUUCAGCGAGCAUUGUUUAACACUUGCUUCGCUCGAUGAAGAUUUAUCACUGAUGGGUUUACUUUACCGGAUCGUGUUGUUAGACUUACAUGGGUUUUCCAUGUUGGCAUGUCAACUCUACCUCUAUCGAUGUCAUUUGAUCGCAUUUAGUCCGUGGUGUUGGAUUUCAUUGAGUCUUGGACGUGGUGAUUCACUCCUUGAGGAAGUGUUAUCUGUGACUGAGUAUUGUUGAGAGAUUGAUCUCAGAUACUAACUAAAGUAUCUUCGACCUUGGUUAGCUUGGUUGCUAGAAAGUCUUGAGUGGUGAUACACUCGUGCUUUCUUCUAGCUUUGUUCUAGUGUUGAUGGUAUUGAAGUGAUGCCUUAUCGUUGACAUUGUUGAUGUUGAGAUUUCAGUGAAAUGAGAUGUCUCUCUACAAGAUUAAUGUCGAGUUUCAUUAGUCUUGAUGAAGAUAGUGUUGAUGAUUUGGCUAUAGCCUUGUAUUAUUAGCAUUCGCGCAUUUGCUAGAUAGCAACUGUAUUGACGUUCAAAUGAACUGAGUGGCAAGUUGAGUUAGUUAUGUUCUAGAUGAGAUUAGUAGGGGUUGAGCUUUGAGCUUUUCCUUGAAAAGUGAUUUAGUCAUGGACUAUACUAACUCUACAAGUGGGAGAGUUAGUGAUUGAUAUUGGAAUAUUUGAAUCUUUAUUGGAUUUGAGUUGGAAUAUAUCGAUCAUUGAUGAUUCUUCUUGUGCUUGUUAUGAUGUGAGUUACGUUUUGCUAUAGAUGGAUUCAUGGAGGAUCGUUUGGUGAUCACUUGUUGAGCAUAGCUUUGUUAUGCUUAGCUUUUGGAUUGAUGUAGACAUGCUCUUCAUUAGCUUUGCACUAAGAAGUUUAGCUUAUGGAUGUAUUGAGGAGAAUAUUGUGGGUUGUACCAUGAUUUCUUCUUUAACAUUGAAGUUAGUCCAUGCAAGACUCGUGAUCAUUAUUAGGCAAGACUUGGCUAUAGACUUCUUCGAGCUUUUGGUUAUUUGAGUUUUUGUGCUCAUUGUUCCAUUUGUUAGAAGUUGUUGGGGAAGGCAUUUUGGCUCCUAGCUUCAAUGUUGAAAUUAGUAUUUGCAUAUGGCAAUCAUUGGUGAUGAUUGACUAUCAUCUAAGAUAGUUGAUUAUCCUUGUCAAGGGUUUUGUUUGAUUAUUGUUGGUAUGGAAUGAUUUGCUGUUCUUCGGGAUAGUAGAUUCUUUCUUUGAUGAUGAUUAUGCAUUUCUCUAUUGAUAGGAUGAUUGAUGAUCUUUUAUGGUAGUUAGUUGUUCUCUUUGAUGGCUUUUGGCUUUUUGCAAUACCACAUGUUUUUUGUGGUUUGCUCUGGAUUGGUCUCUUGGGUUUGAGACAUCAGUAGGAUAUGGCUGACACUUGCUUCAGCAACUUGAGUUCCUUAGUGUUGUUGGCUGGAAUCUAUUCGGAUUGGCUAGUGUGAUCGUUAGCAUGAAUGAGUGUUUGUUGGUCUUGCCACAUUCAUUCUGUUGAUUAUUGCUUGAGUUAGUUUUGAUAGAUUGGGAUGUUAUUUCCUUCGGGUGAUACAUUCGCGAGCAUUGUGCUUGUCAGUCAAUGAUACUUUGUGUUCUUUGAGUUAUCUCUAGUAAGUUGUUGCCUUACUGUCUGCUAUCUUCGAUACUUAAGUUUCAUCAUUGAGUUUCCUUGAUGAUAUACUUGCUAUUGGAUUUUAUGGGAUAGUGAAUCCUAUGUUUACCAAUUAUGAUGAUCUUGGUCGUUCCUGUACUACACUACUAGUUUAUCAGAUGAUAACUUACUUGGAAUACUUUUGUGUUCUGCUCUAAGUCUCUAAGAUAUCAUUGUCUCUGACUUUGAUAUUGUCCAUCUAUUGAUCUUUGAGUUUGGGCCAGUAAUGGGCAGACUGGCUUCGGCACUUCGUGUGCAUGGUGAAAUCUCUAGUCAUGGGGUAGCUACUGUCGACUGGUCACAUAACCCGCCUCUUUGUCGAUGUUCCUUAUUCCGUUGAAAGGGCGUGACCGUGUAAACAACUCUAACUGCCUGUUUACAGUAGUCUAUCUAAACCUUACCGACGGAUUUGGUUUCUUUGCUUAGGAGGGUUGGGGCCUCUGGCUUCUCUCUCUAUGUCCCUGCGGGCAGGGGCAUAUCACACUUUUGUAAGCUAGGUGACUCCCAGAGCAGCAAGGGUGGCUGACUCCGUUGGUCAUUUCCUUGUCGGCGACGGCCGAAAGGUGUCUGAGCUGGUAGCGCAUCCACGUUAGACAAAGAGGUUGCCCCCUAACUCAUUUAAGUUGGUGCAUUUUUUAUAUAAUGUGAGUACCGUGAACUUAUUCUGGAGUUGUUUCCUUGGCGGUAUUCUAGACUCGAGUAUGCAUCGACGAGGACGUCGAUCUUCCCAAGGGGGGGAGAGUGUCGCGCAUGUGACUUUGGGUAUCGAAAGUUACCUGUCGACCUGUCCUUACGGACACUCUUACCUUACUGCCACGAUGGCAGGAGGUCGGUAUUGCUGGACCCGUUAUUAGUCUCCGCCUAAGCUAGUUGAGAAACUGGUCAUCACAUGUGCACUUAGACCGGAAGGGCACUAAGGAAGGAAAUCCUAAGUUGUCAUUUAGUCAAGCAGACUUGACACGGUGAUGAGAAACUCAUGAUGUUGGCUUGCACUUGCUAGUGUUGGGAACCCCCGUGAUAUUGAGCUUGGUCCCUCAAUAUCGCUACAUGAUAGCUUACCGUGUCUGCCAAACACCCUCGCUAUCAUGUCCUUUGUGUUAGUCUCAUUUUGGUCCCAAAUGCUAUUUAUGGAAAGUGUCCAGAUUUGCUCAUUUGGCAUAUCUACGGAAUGUAGAGAUUGUCCUGAACACAAUGGUGUUCGUCCCAUGCCCAAAUUCGCAAUCUAGGGACAUUCCAUAUUUAGUAAGUUUCGAGCUUGUCCCAGAGACUAACUCCUGAUACUAAGGGAGGCUUGGGGUGAAAGCCCAAAGCGUGUGUUCCUCAAGGGGGGGGGGCUAUGGGGGGUUCCAAAUGUAUAGUAGGGAUAGUGGGUAGGUCGGGCAUGGCCGACCAACCUGAGGCAUAGUCUAGCUCCCGCUUGCGUGCCUGUCCUUGUUCUGCGUCCGGCUUGGGUCUAAGCCCAAGUUCCAUUCCAUGCUAGUUGGUGGAGUACCCAUAUCCUCGCGUUAGGCCACCGGUAUGCCGAAAUAGCGCCAAACUCCGUUUGGCUCCGUUUUGCGUGCUGGUCCUGGCAUUGGGAUGCUGGUUGCUCCAGGACUGUUCCAAGCCGCUCCGGGCUCCCGUCCCUUCGCUCCUUGGGCUUCAUGCUCGGGAGUUGCUCCGUGGUUCGGUUUUGUCACUCCUCGGCUCCAUGCUUGGGAGUUUAGCACCGUUCCUUCGUUCAGUGGCCCAAGGCCCUGAACCUCGGGUUCCUGUGGACACGUGGCAUGGACACGUGGCAUGUGACACGUGGCAUCUGUCACGUGGCACAAAGAGGGUUUAGGUUCCGCUUCAUGGUGUUAUCCUAUGGUAAAUCACCAUAGGAUAAAGGGUCAAAACCACGUGCGCUACAAUAGUAUCCUCAUCUUAUAAUUCCAUUUAGUUGUACACCUCCUCCUAUCUCCACAAUCACUAUGAAAGAACUCUUUCAUGAAGAAUCUAUUUUCCUUUUUACUUUGCAUGUUUCUCCUGUUACUCUUUUUGAGAAGUAUCAUGAUUUUGGGGAUGUGUUUGACAAGAAAAAAGCUAGUGUACUGCCUGUUCAUCGACCUUAUGACUGUCCCAUUGAUUUACAAGAAGGAGUGUCACCUCCAUAGGGGCCUAUCUACAGGUUAUCCUUGUCUGAGCUUAAGGCUGUCAAGACCCCCAACAAGAUCAAGACUGGAAAAUGCAAAAAGACAAAGAGAAAAGCUAGUGGAAACAAAGAAGAGGCCUUAGACUGGCGUUGAUUCAGAUUGUGGAGAAAUGGAACAAGGCUAACCUAAUAUAUACUAUAGGUUGAUGAAGCUCCACCACUCUUGGAUCGAGGACGGCCUAAAUAUAGCUGAGGUCGAGGAGGUGCCACAUCAUCAUCAGGAAUGUGGCUCGAGACUCAGGAAUCGGGAAGUGUCUCGAGAGUCAGGAAUAGGGAAGUGUCUCGAGAGUCAAGAAUAGGGAAGUGUCUCGAGAGUCAGGAAUGUGGUCUGCUGGUCAGGAAUCCGGCGAGAGUUAGGAAUGUGGCAAGAAUUGGGGGAUUCCUGACAGCACCCCCUCCUCAAGAACGAGUGGAACGAGGAUGUGAACGAGAACGAAGAAGAGGAUGAGAUGAGCGGCGAGGGAUGGGAGAUGAAGAAAAAGAAUGAGGACUGGGACGAGAAGGAUAGCAGCGGUGGAAGUCCUGAACAAGGUCAGGAGAAUGAAUCAGGUUGUCCGCAGGUUCCCAAGUGCGUUCCUCAGGUCCGUAACCCUUCCAGUCUACCAGAUAGUAGAGUUUAGACCGUGAAAUCUUGGAAUCAAGGAUGUCCUGAACCUCGUACUCAGACCCAUCCUCGAGCUGCACUGGUGGAGGCGGAGAAUGACCCGAUUUGGAAUAGGACUGGGAAUAUAAGGCUUAAGGAGAGAGGAGUGAAAAACGGGGUGAAUUUGAUAUGAGGAGGGAAGUGCAAGGCGAUAAGUCACAGGAUUAAUGAUGGCAGUGAUAGGAAAAGGACCAAGGCAUUUGAAAUCGAGUUUUGGACAGGGCCUGGUGGUGGAGAUAUUUCGCCUGAGGAGCCAGACUUUAUCCCCGAUAUUGUAAGGGGGACAAUCCUGACGAUGGACAUUGGCAAAUGUUUUAUGAGAUUCCUGAGCACGAUGGAGGUGGAAGGAGAUAGAGUUGUGGAUUUUCUGGAGGUUGGAGAUAAAUGCCUCAGAGCGGGGAUUUGAACGAGAGGAUUCAGAUGGAGAAGGAAGUGAGAGAUUGAAUUGGGGAUUUCGGCCAGAGUUCGCAAAGAAGGGGGAAACUCGAAGAGAGGAGUGAACAGAGUUGUUAUAGGAGAACUCAGCAAGGGGAAGGAUAUCGAACCAGUUAUCCUGAUGAUAGUUGAUGAAGCACCUCAAGAAUUGUUCCAACGUUUGAAUCGUUCGCUCGAACUGCCCAUCAGUUUGAGGAUGAUAUGCCGAAGAGAGGUUGGCCUUCACUCCAAGUAGUUGCAAAAACCGUUGCCAGAAAUGAGAGAUGAACUGAGGCCCCCGAUCCGAAACCACAUCUGUAGGAUUCCCAUGAAGUCAGAAAAUUUCCCUGAAUACCAGUUUUGCCAUGUCCUCACCCAAAAACUCCUUGGUACAUGGCAGGAAGUGCGCCAUCUUUGUGAAGCAAUCCACCACGACUAAAAUGCUGUUGAAGCCUCCAGAACUCGGAAGAUCACUCAAGAAAUCCAUGGAGAUGGAUUCCCAAGGACCGAAGGGACCGAAAGGGAACGAAGCAAACCUGAAGGAAGGUGGCGAGGUACCUUAUUCCAGGCACAAGUGUCACAGGAGGUAACAAAAGCUUUUAUGUAGUCAUCCAUGUGAGGCCACCAAAAGUCCCGUGCAACUAGCUCAUAGGUUUUCGCAAUGCCGAAGUGACCAGCAGUUGGGCUAUCGUGGCACGCCAUCAGGACCAACCUUCAAGCAUCACCUUCAAGAACGUAAAGCUGCUCCCCACGGUACAAUAAGCCAUCUAAGAACUCGAACUCGUCAAAUCGCCGGCAGUCGAGAGUCACUGGGUGUCCAGCCUAAAGAUGGGGGAAGAUGUCGCUAGCGAGAUCAUCAGAUUGAAGAUCAUUUCUGAUUGCAUCCAUCAAGGAGGAGUCCUGAGGGGCCAGGGAAAUUGCCAUAACUUGAAGCCGAUCAGGACCGAGGAUAACUUGAUCCUGUUGAUCGAAGGCAGGAUUACCAGGCCUGAGACUGAGAUAGGAGCGCCUUGAAAGAGCAUCAGGAAGGCCUUGAAACUUUCCAGGUCUGUAGUUGAUAACAAAGUCAAACCGACUCAGGAAUUGUGCCCACCUUGCUUGACAAUGGCUUAAAACUCGGGAAGUGGCAAAGUACUCGAGAUUUUUGUGAUCCGUUUAGACUGUUGUUUGAUGGCUCGCCCCCUCCAAGAAACGGCACCACUCUCCAAAGGAAUCCACGAUGGCAAGGAGCUCCUUGUCGUGGAUUUCGUAAUUGAUCUCCGCAGGCUAGAAUUUCCAAGAAUGGAAAGCGACCGGAUGAAGUUCGUGAUCCGCUCCGAGUUGAGACAGCACAGCACCAAUGGUAAAGUCGGAGGCGUCAGCCUCGAUGAAGAAAGGUUGUGAGGAAUCAGCAUGGAUCAAGACAGGAGCAGAACUGAAAGCCGCCUUGAGUGUGUCGAAGGCCUGCUGGGCAGCAGCAGACCAAGAGAAGGGAACAUCCUUGCGAGUGAGAUGUGUGAGAGGAAGGACAAUGUUAGAGUAGUGAUCAAUGAAUUUGCGGUAGAAGUUGGCGAAGCCAAGGAAAACCUGAACGUCCGACAUUGAUUGUGGAGGCUCCCAUUCGAGAAUAGUCUUGACUUUGGCAGGAUCCAUCGUGAUACCCUCAGGAGUGACAAAGUACCCAAGGAACUCCACAGACUGCUGAUCAAAGGAACAUUUCUCAAGCUUCGCAUAUAGGCCGUGUUCUCGCAGCUUCGCUAGCACCUUGCGUACAUGUUCGUCAUGCUCCUCCUGAGUUUUUGAGUAGAUGAGGAUGUCAUCGAGGUAGACGAUCACCAUCUGAUCAAGAAACUCCCGAAAGACAUCGUUCGCCAUGUGUUGGAAAACUGCUGGAGCAUUUGUCAAGCCAAAUGGCAUGACAGUGUACUCGAAGUGGCCAUAGCGGGUUCGGAACGCAAUCUUCCAUUCAUCACCAGGUCGGAUCCAGAUCAGGUUGUAUGCUCCACGGAGGUCGAUCUUGGUGAAGAAGCGGGCACCGCCGAGGCGUUCCAACAGGUCCGAGAUCAGGGGCAGCAGAUAACAAUUCCGAACAGUGACCUUGUUCAAACCUCGAUAGUCGAUGACUAGCCGCAAGCUCCCAUCCUUCUUCUUGACAAAAAAGACAGGUGCUCCAGCCGGGGACUGCGAAUGCUGAAUGUAGCCCGAGGCAAGGUUCUCAUCCACAUACUCUUUGAGGGCCUUAAGCUCGGACGGGGAUAACCCGUAGAUAGGCCCCCAUGGAGGUGACGCUCCUUCCUGUAAAUCAAUGGGACAAUCAUAAGGCCGAUGAACAGGCAGUACACUAGCUUUUUUCUUGUCAAACAAAUCCCCAAAAUCAUGAUACUUCUCAGGAAGACUGACAGGAGAAACAUGCAAAGCAAAAAGAAAAAGAGGUUCUUCAUGAAGGAGUUCUUUCAUAGUGAUUGUGGAGAUAGGAGGAGGUGUACGACUAAAUGGAAUGAUGAGACGAGGAUACGGUCCAGUGUAAGAUGGAAGAGAGGAAAAAGAAGAGGGUGAAAACUUUAUAGAGUCAGGAACAGAACCCCGAUUUGAGUUUAGGGAACUUUUCCUGAUUCGGACUCGAUGAACAGCAGGGGAAGCUGUGGGAGAGAUGAGCUGUAAUUCCUUCCAAUAGAUCUGAGGCUGAUGUAGUUGGAACCAAGGAAGACCGAGCACCACAGAGGAGGACUUGCUGUUGAUGAUGUUGAAGGCGAUAUCGGUGACGGUGGAGCCGAUGUGUACUCGAACGGGCAACGUUUCCCUAAGUCCAGAAGAUGGAGACACAAAAUGCUCGCCGAUGCCUUCAACCCUCAAAUCCCGUAUGGUAGGAGAAAGAGGAACGUGAUGUCGGGCAGCAAAGUCCGUGUCCAUGAAGCAAGAAGUUGCACCCGAGUCCAGUAACGCCAGAGCCUUGAGUCCUGAUUGUCCAGUGAAAGAAAGGAGACAUGGGACGCGGAAGUUGUGGGAAUUGGUGGUGGCUUUGAUGAAAGGUGGUGAGGAGCUUGAUAAAGAAGAAAAGUGAUUUUUAUUCGGGGAGUUCAAACAUACAGCUCCUACUCUGUUUGGACAGGGUCGUUUCCCGACUGCAAUAGAGGUGGACUUUGAGGCAGAGUGAACUCGAGCAGUCGAGGAGGCUUCUUGGGACAUACAGCUGCUUUGUGAUUAGGAUCAGCACAAUAGAGGCAAAGAUUAUGAGAUAUUCGACGUUGCUUCUCAGCAGGACUCAACUUCCCUCUAAUGAGUCGGGGAGUACCAGAAAUAUCCAUUGGAACCGGAGCAGUAGGUUCAGGAGUAUGCCCCGAAGACUCAAGCUGGGAUUCCUGAGUCUGGGACGGAAAAACAGCGGCGCGGCGACUUUCCUGACGACGUUCAAAGAGACGAUUGUCACAUCGAACAGCUUUGUUGAUGGCAUCCGACAAGUCCUUGGGAUCCUCCAUGGUGAGCAACAAAUCCUUGACACCGUUGUUGAGGCCGAAACGAAAUUGGUCAAUCAGGGCCCGCUCAUCCCACUGAGUGUCCAAAGCAAGGAGUUGGAACUCUGCAGCGUAGAUCGAGGCAGAAUGAGACCCCUGAGAGAGACAUCUCAUCUUUGUGGUAGCAGCCCGAACCCGAUCCGUCUCGCCAAAACAUGCUUCGAGCUUCUCUUUGAACAAUUGAAGAUCCAUCAGCUGUGGAACCACGACCCCUUUCAUGCUCUUCUCCAGAAGAGGAGAAAACCAUGACAAAGCUGCACCUUCGAGCAACGUCCCAAUCGCGCCGAUUUGAGACUCGGGAGUAAGGUACCGCCGAUGUUGAAGUGCGAAGAUCAACUCCAUCUGGUUUAGGAAUCCGCGAAGCUCCGAACUCUUGCCUGAAAAUUUCGCCGGGAAACUCACCUUCGGUUCAGGAACUUUGCUGGAUCCUUGAGCCGAAAAUGAAGCAAGUUCCUGCUGCAUGCGAAGAAGGGUCGCCUUCAGCUCAGUAUUCUCAGACUAGAUUUUUGCAAGGACUUCAGCAAAGAAAUCAGGAUGGCUUGGAGACUCCAUUGGCAAGAAGAAAGAAAAAAGGGGGAAAAAAAGGCAAAGGUAAUCAAACAAUCAAAACGAAAAUCAAAAAACGAAAAAACACAAUCUGAAUCAAACUGUCAAGACCCCCAACAAGAUCAAGAUUGGAAAAUGCAAAAAGACAAAGAAAAAAGCUAGUGGAAACAAAGAAGAGGCCUUAGACUGGCGUUGAUUCAGAUUGUGGAGAAAUGGAACAAGGCUAACCUAUAUAUACUAUAGGUUGAUGAAGCUCCACCACUCUUGGAUCGAGGACGGCCUAAAUAUAGCUGAGGUCGAGGAGGUGCCACAUCAUCAUCAGGAAUGUGGUUCGAGACUCAGGAAUCGGGAAGUGUCUCGAGAGUCAGGAAUAGGGAAGUGUCUCGAGAGUCAGGAAUAGGGAAGUGUCUUGAGAGUCAGGAAUGUGGUCUGCAGGUCAGGAAUCCGGCGAGAGUUAGGAAUGUGGCAAGAAUUGGGGGAUUCCUGACAAAGGCCCUCAAAGAGUACGUGGAUGAGAACCUUGCCUUGGGGUACAUUCAGCAUUUGCAGUCCCCGGCUGGAGCGCCUGUCUUCUUUGUCAAGAAGAAGGAUGGGAGUUUGCGGCUAGUCAUUGACUACCGAGGUUUGAACAAGAUGAUUGUUUGGAACCUUGGAACUUGAUCCGGAUCCGGCCUGGUGAUGAAUGGAAGACUGUGUUCUGAACCUGCUAUGGCCACUUCGAGUACACUGUCAUGCCAUUUGGCUUGACAAAUGCUCCAGCAGUUUUCCAACAGAUGGCGAAUGACGUCUUUCGGGAGUUUUUUGAUCAGAUGGUGAUCGUCUACCUCGAUGACAUCCUCAUCUACUCAAAAACUCAAGAGGAGCACAACAAGCAUGUGCGCAAGGUGCUGGCAAAGCUGCGGAAACAUGGCCUAUAUGCGAAGCUUGAGAAAUGUUCUUUCGAUCAGGAGUCUGUGGAGUUCCUUGGGUACAUUGUCACUCCUGAGGGUAUCACGAUGGAUCCUGCCAAAGUCAAGACUAUUCUCGAAUGGGAGCCUCCACAAUCAAUGUCAGACGUUCAGGUUUUCCUUGGCUUCGCCAACUUCUACCGCAAAUUCAUUGAUCACUACUCUGACAUUGUCCUUCCUUUCACGCAUCUCACUCGCAAGGAUGUUCCCUUCUCUUAGUCUGCUGCUGCCUAGUAGGCGUUUGACACACUCAAGGCGGCUUUUAGUUCUGCUCCCAUCUUGAUCCAUGCUGAUCCCUCACAACCUUUCUUCAUCGGGGCUGAUGCCUCCGACUUUGCCAUCGGUGUUGUGCUGUCUCAACUCGGAGCGGAUCAAGAACUUCAUCCGGUCGCUUUUCAUUCUCGGAAAUUCCAGCCUGUGGAGAUCAAUUACGAAAUCCACGACAAGGAGCUCCUUGCCAUCGUGGAUUCCUUUGGAGAGUGGCGCUGUUUCUUGGAGGGGGCGGGCCAUCAAAUAACAGUCUGGACGGAUCACAAAAAUCUCAAGUACUUUGCCACUUCCCGAGUUUUGAGCCGUCGUCAAGCAAGGUGGGCACAAUUCCUGAGUCAGUUUGACUUUGUUAUCAACUACAGACCUGGAAAGUUUCAAGGCCUUCCUGAUGCUCUUUCAAGGCGCUCCUAUCUCAAUCUCAGGCCUGGUAAUCCUGCCUUCGAUCAACAGGAUCAAGUUAUCCUCAGUUUUGAUCGAUUUCAAGUUAUGGCAAUUUCCCUGGCCCCUCAGGACUCCUCCUUGGUGGAUGCGAUCAGAAACAAUCUUCAAUCCGAUGACCUCACCAGCAACAUUUUCCCCCAUCUUUAGGCUAGACACCCAAUGACUCCCAACUGCUAGCGAUUUGAUGAGUUCAAGUUCUUAGAUGGCUCGUUGUACCGUGGGGAGCAGCUUUACAUUCCUAAAGCUGAUGCUUGAAGGUUGGUCCUGAUGGCAUGCCACAAUAGCUCGACUGCUAGUCAUUUCGGCAUUGUGAAAACCUAUGAGUUGGUUGCACGGGACUUUUGGUGGCCUCACAUGGACGACUACAUCAAAGCUUUUGUUACCUCCUGUGAUAGUUGCACCCGGAAUAAGGUACUUCACCACCUUCCUUCAGGUUUGCUUUGUUCCUUCCCAAUCCCUUCAGGUCCUUGGGAAUCCAUCUCCAUGGAUUUCUUGAGUGAUCUUCUGAGUUCUGGAGGCUUCAACAGCAUUUUAGUUGUGGUGGAUUGCUUCACAAAGAUGGCGCACUUCCUGCUGUGUACCAAGGAGUUUUCGGGCGAGGACAUGGCAAAAUUGGUAUUUAGGGAAAUUUUCUAGCUUCAUGGGAUUCCUGCAAAUGUAGUUUUGGAUCGGGGACCUCAGUUCAUCUCUCAUUUCUAGCAAUGGUUCUUGCAGCUGCUUGGAGUGAAGGUCAACCUCUCUUCGGCGUAUCAUCCUCAAACUGAUGGAAAGUCUGAGUGAACAAUUCAGACGUUGGAACAAUUCCUGAGGUGCUUCAUCAACUAUCAUCAAGAUGACUGGUUUGAUAUCCUUCCCCUUACUGAGUUCUCCUAUAACAACUCUGUUCACUUCUCUCUUCGAGUUUCCCCCUUCUUUGCAAACUCUGGUUGAAAUCCUUGAUUCAAUCUCUCACUUCCUUCUCCAUCUGAAUCCUCUUGUUCAAAUCCCCGCUCUAAGGCAUUUGUCUCCAACCUCCAGGAAAUCCACAACUCCAUCUCCUUCCACCUCCAUCGUGCUCAGGAAUCUCACAAAACAUUUGCCAAUGUCCAUUGUCAAAAUUGUCCCCCUUACAAUAUCGAGGAUAAAGUUUGGCUCCUUAGGUGAAAUAUCUCCACCACCAAGCCAUUUCCCAAACUCAAUUUAAAAUGCCUCGGUUUUUUCCCUAUCAUUGCCAUCAUUAAUCCUGUCACUUAUCACCUUCCUGUAAGCAACCAAAGGGAACGACUCGAGAGACGAUCCAUGGGGUUCAAAUAUAGAGGGAAAGGGCCCAUGAACAAGAGUGCACCCCCUUUUCCAAUUGGUUAAGGGUCUUGGGAUACUUGGAGUUAAGCGUCCUUGGGGUUGAAUAGUACUGGGCUGGGUGACCUCCCGGGAAGUCCAAACUCAGGAGUUUACAUUUGGUAUCAAAGCGGUCUCGGGUCCGACUCUGUUGGUUGGCUAAAGGAAUCACACCACAUGUUGAUUGACAUCUGGCUGGUCCAGUUUGCUCCUGCUGGGCUCGACCCGAGGGGUAGGGUGUCAAGAGAGCGGGGCUCUCGGGAGAGCUGCGGCUCUCAGCUUCCGUUCACGAGGGCGUGAACUUGCAGAGAAGCGUGGUGGAUUGUAAGAGAGCGGGGCUCUCGGGAGAGCUGCGGCUCUCAGCUUCCGUUCACGAGGGCGUGAACUUGCAGAGAAGCGUGGUGGAUUGUAAGCAACCAAAGGGAACGACUCGAGAGACGAUCCAUGGGGUUCAAAUAUAGAGGGAAAGGGCCCAUGAACAAGAGUGCACCCCCUUUUCCAAUUGGUUAAGGGUCUUGGGAUACUUGGAGUUAAGCGUCCUUGGGGUUGAAUAGUACUGGGCUGGGUGACCUCCCGGGAAGUCCAAACUCAGGAGCUUACACUUCCACUUCCCUCCUCAUAUCAAAUUCAUCCCAUUUUUCACUCCUCUCUCCUUGAGCUUUAUAUUCCCAGUCCUAUUCCAAAUCAGGUCAUUCCUCUACCUCCACCAGUGCAGCUUGAGGAUGGGUCUGAGUACAAGGUUUAGGACAUCCUUGAUUCCAAGAUCUCACGGUCUAAACUCUACUAUCUAGUCGACUGGAAGGGUUAUAGACCUAAGGAACGCACUUGGGAAUCUGUGGACAACCUGAUUCAUUCUCCUGACCUUGUUCAGGACUUCCACCGCCGUUAUCCUUCUCGUCGCAAUCCUCAUUCUUUUUCUCCAUCUUCUGUCCCUCGCCGCCCAUCUCAUCCUCCUCUUCGUUCUUAUUCACGUCCUCGUUCCAUUUGUUCUUGAGGAGGGGGUGCUGUCAGGAAUCCCCCAAUUCUUGCCACAUUUCUGACUCUCGCUGGAUUCCUGACUUGCAAACCACAUUCCUGACUCUCGAGACACUUCCCUAUUCCUCACCCUUUGAUUUCCAGUACGAUUCCUGAGUUUCGAGCCACAUUCCUAAUGAUGAUGGGGCACCUCCUCGACCUCAGCUAUAUUUAAUUCGUCCUCGAUUCAAGAGUGGUGGAGCUUCAUCAACCUAUAGUAUAUAUAAGUUAGCCUUGUUCCAUUUCUCCACAAUCUGAAUCAAUGCCAGUCUAAGGCCUCUUUUUCGUUUCCACUAGCAUUUCUCUUUGUCUUUUGUAUUUUCUAGUCUUGAUCUUGUUGGGGGUCUUGACACAUACUAAGUAACUCAAGUUGCUCAAAUAAGAGUCAACUACAUCCUAUUAAUGUCUCAAACCCAAGAAACCAAUUUAGAGUAACCACAAAGUACAUGUGGUAAUAUGAAAAAGUAUAUACUAUCAAAGAGAACAACUAACUAUCAUAAAAAAUUAUUAAUCAUCCUAUUAAUAAAGAUAUACAUAAUUACCAUUGAAGAAACAAUCCACAAUCUCGAAGAAUGGCAAAUCCUUCAACAUCAAUCAUAAUCAAGCAAAACUUUUUGACAUGGAUAAUCAACUAUCUUAAAUGAUAGUUAAUCAUCACCAAUGAUUGCUAAAUGAAAAUACCAACUUCAAUAUCGAAACUAAUGAAUCAAAAUGCCUUCCUUAACAUCUUUUAAACAUGGAGUGAAGGAGUGAAGGUAUUAGAGCAUGGAGCGACCCUCAAGCAUACAGCUUAAGGAGCAAAGGGACAGGAGCAUAGAGCAACUUAGAAUAAUCUUAGAACAUAUAACAUCUAAUGCCAAGAUUAACAUGCAAAAUGGAGCUAAAUGAAGUUUGGUGCUAUUUAAGGAUAUUGGUGGUUUAACACGAGGAUAUGAGUACUCCACCAACUAGCAUAGUGUGGAAUUUGGGUUUAAACUCAAGUCAAACACAGAACAAAAGCAAACACACAAGCAAAAGCUAAAUUAUGCCUCAGGUUGGUAGGCCAUGCUUAACCUACCCAUUAUCCUUAGUAUACAUUUGGAACCCCCCACCUCCUUAAGAAAUGCAUGUUUUGGGUUUUCACCCUUAGUCACCCUUAGUACCAGCAGUUAAUCUUUAGGACUAACAAAUUUAAACAUUUUCCAUAAAUAGCAAUUAAGAUUGAACAGAAUUACACAAGGUACAUGAUAGCAAGGGUGUUUGGCAAACACGAUAAGCUAUCAUUUUGCAAAUAUUAAGGGACCAAAUUCAAUAUUAAAGAGGUUCCUAACACUAGUAAGUGCAAGUCAACAAAUGAAUUUCUCUAACCAAUUUAACUAAUAGCACUUAGGAAUUUUGUCUUUAUGCUCUUUUGGUCAAGUGUACAUGCAAAAACUAGUUUUUCAACUAGCUUAGGUGGAGAUUGAAAAAGGGUUUAACAAUACUGACCUCUUGCCGUCAUGGCAGUAAAGAAAAAAUAUCCGAAAGGACUAACCAAUAGGUAACUUUUGAUACUUGCAGUCAUAUUUGCAAUAUGCAAUCAUAUCAAAUAUAACUUCAAGGUAUAUCCCCUUUAUUUUAUACUUCUUAUUUAUUCCAUUCCUUUCACUUUGUUCCAUUUAUUAUUUUGUUUCUUUUUAUACUUUUAUCACUUUUGUCUCCUUAUUAUUUCCUACCAUAUUUCCUUCUAAUUCUUCUAUUCCUCCCUAGAUCCCUUAACUAGUCUUUGUGUCAUGGCAAUUGACUAGAUUACGUAGAAGUAUAUUGAUCUCUUCGACUUUGAAAUAUCAUCUAGUGCCAAGAUUGCACUAUAUUAAUCUAUUCUAAUUGGAGAUGCUCAUUCAAUCAAGAUUCAUCCAUCACCAAAGAAGAUCAAGAUAUUAUAAGCAAAUAUUUAGGAGAUGUUAAAGAAAUGUGUUAUUCAAAAAUCUCAAAGUCCUUGAAUGUGUGAACUUCAUUUUGUGACGAAGAUGGAUAGGAGUAUCUAAUUCUAUAUCAAAUAUUGUCUAUUAAAUGUUAUAACUAUCCCAAAUGUGUACACUCUUCCUUAUACUAUUGAUCAUUUAGAUUAUUUAAAGAGAAGUUUUUAAUUCAUCAAGUUGGUGUAUACAAAAAAAAAAAAACUUAAAAUAGAGUUCAAAUAUAGAAGGAUAUAAGAAUGCACCCUCUUUUUUAAUUGAUUAAUGAUUUUAGGAUUUUUGUAACCAACUGUAAAUUGUAAAUUGUAACCAACUAAAAAGAAUGACUUGAGAGACAAUCCAUUAUGGUUCAAAUAACCUAUAAAUAACAGUGCAUCCUUUUUUCCAAUGGUCUUGAGAUAUUUAAAGUUAAACAUCCUUGAAUUUAAGUAGUUGAUCAAAGUUACUAGGCCUCUAAUUUCAAAAUCCUCCAAUCAUCACCAUCAAGAUUGUUAGACAUAUGUCUAAAAGACUAUAUUGAGCUAGGUGACUUUUUAAGAAAAUUAAUAACAUCUUUAGGAUGGGUAUUAGGAUGGAUGACCUCAAAAGCUUACAUUUUAUAGUAAAUAGGUCUAGAUCCAACUCUAUUAGUUAACUAGGGAAUCAAGCCAUAUAUUGAAAUUAAUAUCUAGUGGUCUAGUUUAGUCAAAUAGGGUCUCAAAUCCAUGUCUAGUGGAUGAUAAGCUAUCAUAUAACAUUAUUAAGGGAUUAAACUCAAUAUUGUGGGGAUUUUUUAUACAACUUCUGUAAGCCAAUAGCAUAAGUUUCUCAAACCAGGUUAAAUAUGCUCAAUUAAAAGCACAUAAGAAUUCCUCCUUUAUAUUUAUCCAAUUUAAGUACACAUGAACUAACUAAUUUCUCAAGUACCUCAAUUGGGAACUAUAAAAAGAACUAACUAUACCGAGCUUUUGCCAUUAUGGUAGUAAGGAGAGAGUAUCCAUAUGGACUACCCUACAAGUAUUUUUCAUUACUUGAAAUCACAUUGGUAAUAAAGCUUUAAUGUCAACAUUUUAUUAGUGCUACUGUGGUGGAAAGUGUUGAUAUUUAAAUUAUUCUGGGAAACAAGGAAUUACAAGAGUAAUGAAAAAGCCUUGUGUGAAUAAGUUAGUAACCUUUUUUUAUUAAAGGGUUCAAUUGGCAUCAAUUCAUCAUAAUAAGAUAUCCUUUGUUAUUCUUUUCAUAUUAGUCAAUAAGGGUUAUUACUCAAUUUAUGAAGAUCUAUUCCAGAGCAAACAAAAAUAGAGUUAUAUUUUCACGUUUAUUUCCUGCAUAGAUCCUUGGACCAAUUGGAGAUUUCUUUGUCACUAAAAUAGCGAAUGAAAGAGGUGUCAAUGAGUAGCUUUUCCUUGUGAGUUUUCAACAGUUAGAUGUGUAUGUCAAUGCCUCUGCUCCAAUUGAUCAAUCUCGACUCUUGAGAUGGAGUUGGAAAUAGUGCUACAAAUGAAGGUAAACAAAUAACAGCCUGGAGAAGAUAAAAGUAAGCUAAUAUGUAUACCAUAGACAAGGAACCUCCACAAAGAUUUGGAGUACAAACCUCACAUAUAAAGGAGAGUGCAACUUGGCCCAGUGCAUUGUGCUAAGCAUGCAAAGGUGGUCAUCACACACCAAGAACAUUCUUCAUAGUUUAAAGUUUAGAGGGCUAAGUAUUAACUAGCCUAAUCCUGUUAUUUUAAUGCUCAAGUAAAUAGACUUUCCUACAAGUAGAUGUGCACCUUUAUUUGCCAAUUCAUCUGCAACUUAAUUUCUAGUGAUGUCAUAGUGCCUUUUGACAUUACAAAAAUAAAUUGGAACAAGCAAUAUCCUAGCAACCCAUUGGAUAAUGUCUAUAUUUGGAUGGCAAUCUAGUGCUUUUAUGUAUUAUAUAUAAAUCUCCACUAGUGUCAAGAAAUCAUAAUUUUCCAUAUAUACAAAUAUUGGCUCCUACACAUCCCAUUGCCAUUCCAUCUCUAAAAAAAUGUCAAGAGUUCACAACAAGAGAUUAAAUAUGAUGGUAGAUCUUGUAUCUAAAUUGUUGUUUGAUCUUCUCCUACAAGUAAGUUAGAUAAAAACUCUUAAAAUAAAUACUCCAUAACCUCCAAAAGCUUUACACUUGAAUAAUCCAUUAAUGAAAAUUUGCAAUUUAUGGUUAUUCACUACCAUUUAUAACAUAUGCACAAUCAUGUUCACCUUAAACAUUUCACUUCCUUGUCUUUAAUAUUUUUCUAUUUUGGAAAGUAUACAUAACUCAAAAGGUAAUGAUAUUUUAUAUAAGCUAUGAAAAUUGUUCUUUCUUUUUUAAUUUGGAAAUUCCAAGUGUUUGAGAACAAAGAUGAUGCAUGAACUGAAACUAACAAUGGCCAACACUAAAAUAACAACUCUAGAAACCUACCAAUACAAUUUAAAAUUUUCAUCUUUUCAUCAAGCUUUUCAUCUAGAUCAAGCUUACAAUCAUGAAAGUUGAUCAUGCCAUCAUUUGUUAUUUAGAAUUUGAAAAGCUAAAAGGAAAAAGCUUUGGGAACAUCCUACUUAACCAUUGGGACUUUUUAGUAUUUAACAAUAAAAUUCAACAGUAAAAAACAACCUUCUUAAAGUGUUGUUGAAUAAAAGAUCCCAAAAUCAUGAUCAAAACAAUAAAGAGUUGGGUUGGAUAUAUUUAGAGCCCACUAUAUCCAAGAUUGAGUUUGAGACCAAAUUUAGGAUCAAAUCUGAGUUAAAUUCAGAUAUAAUACAAGUUGUGUUGAAAGCCUAAAACACUCAUCUUUUAAAGUAAAGGUUUCAAAAGUAAAGUAAGAAGAAUAAAGCUAAAAACUCAGUCUUGAAAGAAUUCUUUAGAGAUGCUUUAAAACUAUAUUAGGGUUGAAACUAGGGAUAAGAACCUUGGGUGGGAGUAAUUAUUGAUUUGAAAGGUAUUAGGGGGGAACCUCAAGUGUUUAAUAAUAACUUCCACUUUCGGAAGAAAAACCAACUAUAAUGUUUAUGGCUCAGAUGGAAUAGUGUCUCACUUGAAUAGAUGAGGCUUAUUGGUCCUCACCCUUUUCUAAAAGGCUUGGGACCUCCUUUUUGGAGUAACUUUUAUUUGGUUUUACUUAGCUUUAGCUAUUCAUUAUAUGAGCAAUAGAGUGUUAGCCACUUCUUCAUAAAUUUCCAAACUCUCUCUCUUAAUCCCUUUCCCCAAGAUAGAUUGGAUUAAGGUUCAGUUAUAUUCUCCAUAAACACAAGUAGCCACAUACAUUAAGUUUUCAGGUUCUAAACAUCUUUUGUACAACAAGAUUUGUAAAUCCAAAACCUUAAGUGCAUCUUUUAGUUCAAAACCUUAAAGGGAAACAUCAUGGCCUAAUAACUCGAUAUAGGUACCUUAACCCCCUAGCUCCAUAAGAAAAAUUAACUAUAGCAAAGUCAAAACUGGUUGGAUAUGUGAGGUAAGUUGACAAAUUAGUAAAGAAAAAAUGUAGGGUUUAUGGAGCGUCGGUCCUUUUUGUUAUGAAAAAGGAUGGAACCAUGAAGAUGUGUAUUGACUAUCGGGACACUCAACAAGAUCACAGUUAAAAACAAUUAUCCUUUGCCUCGCAUUGAUGACUUGUUUGACCAACUUUUAAAGGCUAAGUAUUUUACGCAACUUGAUUUGUGGUCCGGGUAUCAUAAGAUACGGGUGGCAGAUCAGGAUGUGGAGAAAACAGCCUUUAAGACUUGGUAUAGAUCUUAUGAGUUCCUUGUCAUGCCGUUCGGGUUAUGCAAUGCUCUGGCAACGUUCAACACUAUGAUGGAUAGAAUAUUUGGAGAUUAUUUGGACACAUUUGUUGUCCUAUACAUUGACGAUGUUCUAGUCUUUAGCGAAAUGUUAGAGGAUCAUUUGAAACACUUGGAGCUGGUGGUUCAGAAGUUGCGUGAACACAAACUGUAUACUAAGGAAAGUAAAUGCGCUUUUGGACAAUUGCGUGUAAACUUUCUCGGACAUAUAGUUGGUGGUGGCGUGAUUGAGGUCGAUCCAAAGAAGGUGGAAGCAAUGAAGUCCUGGGAAGUUCUGACCACUGUAUCAGAUGUUCGUUCCUUUCUUGGUUUGGUGGGAUACUAUCGCAAGUUUGUCCGCAAUUUUGCAAGAAUUGCUCUUCCGUUAACUGAGUUGACGAAGAGUAGUAUUCCGUUUCACUAGACACCAUCUUGUCAACAUGCUUUUGUACGGUUGAAGGAGAUCUUAACUACGGUUCCUGUUCUCAGGAUCCCGGAUCUUGAUAAACCCUUCGAAGUGCAUUGUGAUGCAUCUGGUUAUACUAUUGAUGCCGUUGGAACACUAGAGACACUACUUAGGUGGACAUACCAAGGUUUAUACGGAUAGUAACACACUAAGCUACUUUGCUACGCAGCCUAAGCUUAUGCCGAAGCAGGCUCAUUGGCAAGAGAAGCUUGCUAUAUAUGAUAUUAAAAUCAUAUAUAAACAUGGUAAAGACAAUAUUGUUCCAGAUGCGUUGAGUCAUCAAAUUCAAUUCCGGGCAAUAUCGGCAAUCAGUUUAGACUGGUUGGAGGACGUUCGGGCUUCGUAUGGAAGUGAUCCAUUGGCGAAGGCAAUCUUAUGCUGUGCGGGGUUGUUGAGGCAAAGCCCUAGUAGCGAAGCAGCAAAAGUUGCUAGUCGCACUAAUGCGAAGCUUCACUCCUUAGUUCAGGAUGGGCUUAUAUUCUAUAAGCAAGAAAGAUUGUAUCUUCCCUGCAACAGUUGUUUCUAUGGGAACAUCAUGAUGUUCCGGCAGUGGGACAUGGGGGGAAGCGAAAGACUCUGGCUUCAUUGAAAAAGGGAUUUUUCUGGUCUAGUAUGGAAGGUGAUGUAGCGGAUUAUGUCCGUUCUUGCCCUAUAUACCAGCAAUGUAAGCGCAGAGCUGAGAAGCAGGCUGGAAAGUUGCAGUGCAUUCUAGUACCGGCAUGGCCAUUUCAAAGUGUGGCACUUGAUUUCAUCACUUGCUUGCCAAAGUCUAAGGGUUAUAAUACUUUGAUGGUGGUUGUGGAUCGGUUGUCAAAGAUUGCACACUUCAUUCCAACUGUGGGAACAGUAAAUGUGAAACAAGCAGCAAAGCUCUUUUUCCAUGAAGUAGUGUGGGUUCGUGGUCUUCUUGAAGAGAUGAUCUCGGAUAGAAAUAUGAGGUUUACGGGGAAGUUUUGGGGCACACUGUUCCAGUUGUUUGGUACCAAGUUGAAGUUUAGUAUGGCUUAUCAUCCUCAAACUAAUGGGCAGACUGAAUGCGUGAAUGCUCAAGUUGAGGAUUAUCUGCAGUACUAUGUCGCGGCGGACCAACGCGACUGGGUUGAGCAUUUGGAUACAGCAGAAAUCUGUUAUAACAACACAUUUCACAGCACUAUUGGCUGUUCUCCAUGGGAGAUGUUGCAAGGAAAUGCUCGCAAAGUGCCUCAACAAAUUAUUGUACCAAAAUCAAUGUCUGAAGUGUUGGUCCCAGCUGUUGAGACUUAUGCGGAGCAACUACGCCAAGGUUGGUCUAGAGCUACUGAGGCAAUGGGCAAAGCUUAGGAUAGGUAUUGACGUGACAAGGAUCAGCAUCGUCAGGAUGUAUGGUCCAUAAUGGCAUCUGUGAGGCUGCAAUACAAGAUGUAAUGUAAUAUUAGAAGCCAUAGGAACUCAGGAGGAAUAGUAUGAAAAAGAAAUAGUUAAUAUUCACUUUUAAAAGCCAUGAAGAGCUGCUAGCCUUUCGUGAGUGUCAAUGUUUAUAGUUUGCUUGCAAGAAUCAGAAAACUCUUAGUUUUCACUCGAUAAAGAAGUUGCAAACAGUGGCUGGAUAAAACUGUUUUCCCGACGAGCGAAGCUCGUGAGUGAUCUUGACAUCCAUGAGCCGGUGAUUGUCUUUGGAGUGAGUGAUUUCGAUCGAGCCUUGGAUAACAUCACUGUCUUCGAUUACCACUGGAGGCUGGAGAAGGAAGAUCAAAGAGACGCUUUGAAGCAUCUGUUGUCUCCAGUGUGUUGUGUCAGUGUCACUUGGACUGUACAAACACUAUCUUACUUAUCCAGUUGUUGUCAACUCGACUUCCUUGUCCACUGGAUUCGACGAGUUUCCCUGGAAAGACACACUAAUAGAGUUAGUGAAGAGAAAAAGAGAGAGCUGGAGAGAUUUUCUGAUCCGCAAGAACCAAAAGUAGCCGGCAAAUCCACAGAGCCUAAAGAGUGAAUGUGAAUCGCGACUUAACAGCAUUGGAGCAACUGAUCUCUUUCACAACAACAGGCUCGGAUAUAAGUUUGACCAUCAGGAAUGCUGCCGUACCUGGAUUGUACAGCAAUGCUAUCAAACAAGUCUUUGGCCUCGUUCAUAAGUCCAGCUUUACCAUAAUACCUAUUGAUAAACUUGUUAAAGUGUUAAAGUUAAAUCAUUAGAUGAUCUUAUAGUUAAGCAAGGACAAAAUCUUUGUGAAGUUAAAGAAUAUAGUUUUUAGUUCAAAGUGUUAAUUUAAAUUAUUGGUAAUGGUGUGGCUUGGUCAAGGUGAUCAAGUGGGAAAGAUACAUAAAGAAAAUAAACUACAACAAUAUAAUGGUAUUAUAAGUUCAAAACAAUAGUCUCUAAGGAAGGACCCAUGGGUGGGUCUCAAGGUUAAGCCAUCCCAUAACAUAAAAUAUUGGAAAGACUUAUUAAGGGUGAAUACCUUUUGGACUUAGCAAAAUAAAGCAUUUGUUAUGGAAUUAAAAGGAUACUUCAAGGAUGGAGGUAGUGAUCCUACGUUAUUUAGUGCAACGAUCAAAAGAUAGGAGCAAAAAACUAAUGGCUAAGAUUAAGUUAUGGAAAUCAUUGGAAGGAAUCUAAAUGGCAAAGUUAUGCAAAAAACACUCAUAUAUUAGAUGUUAAUAAAUUAUGGGAAAGGAAAUAUGUUUCUAAUGAUGGAUUCCCAAAUGCUUCAAUUUAACAAAAGUGAAAUCUCUAAGGAAGGGAGAGGCAAGGUAACCAAACGAUAGGGCCGUGGAUAGCCUUAACACAAAUUAUAGAUAAGUGGAACUUAGUGCCUAAAGUGGCAUGAAAUAAAAGAAAAGAUGAUAGUGCCCUCAAGUAAAGAACUUUAUAAAAUGGGGAAGUGGAGUUUGCACAACAUGUACAAUGCAAGGUGUAGAGAACACUUAGGAAAUUGACUUCAAAAAGUCAAAAUUAAAAGUUUUAAAGUGUGAUAUUUAUGUUGAUGGAAGCUAAAACUACUUGGGUAUGAGUAGCUAGAUUGAGAUAGAGAAGGUGUUUUUAAUAGGUUUAACAAAAACUAAACCAAAUAAAGGGAAAGAACCAUUAUAAAUGGUAUAAUGAGUCUCUAAGUUCGGGAGAUUAUUCUCCUUAUAGGAGGGGAAAGGCAUGAUGAGCCUUCAAUGUCAAACUAUUGAUAAAUAUUAGUUUGGUGCUAAAAAAAUGGUAGUUUAUGAUAGAGUUACUUUGUAAAAUGGUUUAUUGUUCAAUGAGGAUAUUAAACUUCGUCUAUGGGUAGUGGAAUUGUGAGACACAAAUCCCUGAGCCCCAAAGUGGAGCAUAAAGGGUGUUAUAUGGUGGUGGUUAAAGUGGAAGUCUAACAAACAUAAUAUAUUUGGACUAAAGGCUUUAACUUGGAAAGUCGAGAGUGGGAGUGGAACUUCGAAUGAAGUGCUUGAGGGAUGAGUAUGAAGCAAUUGGUGAUUGAGUCUCUAAAAAGGGACACCAAAAAGACUAAAGUAUAGCAAGUGUCAUGACACAUGAAAGUGUCAGGAACAAGUCCAAGAAGGAGUCUGAGAUGGAGUCCAAGAUGGAGUCUGAUAUGCACUUAGGAUAGAGUUCGAGAUGGACCCAAGAUGGAGUCUGAGAUAAAGUCCAAGAUGGACUUGAGAUAAAGUCUGAGAUGGACCCGAUGUGAGACACAAAAUCCCUAGGCCCCAAAGUGGAGCCGGAAGGGUGCCACAAGGUAGUGGCCGAAGCGAAAGCCAAACGAGUGUAACACGUUUGGAUUAAAAGCUCCGACUUGAAAGGUCGAGAGCGGGAGUGGAACUCCCAACAAAGUGCUCGAGGAAUGAGCACGAAGCGAGCAAUAAGCAAGGCUCUAAAAAAGGGACCCAAAAGGAUCAACACAUGACACGUGGAUGUCAGGAAUCCCCCAAUUCUUGCCACAUUCUUGACUCUCACCGGAUUCCUGACCUGCAGACCACAUUCCUGACUCUCGAGACACUUCCCUAUUCCUGACUCUCGAGACACUUCCCGAUUCUUGAGUCUCGAGCCACAUUCCUGAUGAUGAUGUGGCGCCUCCUCGACCUCAGCGAUAUUUAGGCCGUCCUCGAUCCAAGAGUGGUGGAGCUUCAUCAACCUAUAGUAUAUAUAGGUUAGCCUUGUUCCAUUUCUCCACAAUCUGAAUCAACGCCAGUCUAAGGCCUUUUCUUUGUUUCCACUAGUUUUUCUCUUUGUCUUUUUGCAUUUUCCAGUCUUGAUCUUGUCAGGGGUCUUGACAAUUUGAUUCAGAUUGUGUUUUUUCGUUUUUUGAUUUAGCUCGUUUUAAUUGUUUGAUUACCUUUGCCUUUUUUCCCCCUUUUUUCUUUCUUCUUGCCAAUGGAGUCUCCAAGCCAUCCUGAUUUCUUUGCUGAAGUCCUUGCAAAAAUCCAGUCUGAGAAUACCGAGCUGAAGGCGACCCUUCUUCGCAUGCAGCAGGAGCUUGCUUCACUUUCGGCUUAAGGAUCCAGCAAAGUUCCUGAACCGAAUGUGAGCUUCCCGGCGAAAUUUUCAGGCAAGCGUUCGGAGCUUCGCGGAUUCCUGAACCAAAUGGAGUUGAUCUUCGCACUUCAACAUCGGCGGUACCCCACUCCCGAGUCUCAAAUCAGCGCGAUUGGGACGUUGCUCAAAGGUGCAGCUUUGUCAUGGUUUUCUCCUCUUCUGGAGAAGAGCAUGAAAGGGGUCGUGGUUCCGGAGCUGAUGGAUCUUCAAUUGUUCAAAGAGAAGCUCGAAGCAUGUUUUGGCGAGACGGAUCGGGUUCAGGCUGCUACCACAAAGAUGAGACGUCUCUCUCAGGGGUCUCGUCCUACCUCGAUCUACGUUGCAGAGUUCCAACUCCUUGCUUUGGACACUCAGUGGGAUGAGCAGGCCCUAAUUGACCAAUUUCGUUUCGGCCUCAACAAUGGUGUCAAGGAUUUGUUGCUCACCAUGGAGGAUCCCAAGGACCUGUCGGACGCCAUUAACAAAGCUGUUCGAUGUGACAAUCGUCUCUUUGAACGUCGUUAGGAAAGUCGCCGCGCCGCUGUUUUUCCGUCCCAGACUCAGGAAUCCCAGCUUGAGUCUUCGGGGCAUACUCUUGAACCUACUGCUCCGGUUCCGAUGGAUAUUUCUGGUACUCCCCGACUCAUUAGAGGGAAGUUGAGUCCUGCUGAGAAGCAAUGUCGAAUAUCUCAUAAUCUUUGCCUCUAUUGUGCUGAUCCUAAUCACAAAGCAGCUGUAUGUCCCAAGAAGCCUCCUCGACUGCUUGAGUUCACUCUGCCUCAAAGUCUACCUCUAUUGCAGUCGGGAAACGACCCUGUCCAAACAGAGUAAGAGCUGUCUGUUUGGACUCCCCGAAAAAAAAUCACUUUUCUUCUUUAUCAAGCUCCUCACCACCUUUCAUCAAAGCCACCACCAAUUCCCGCAACUUCUGCGUCCCAUGUCUCCUUUCUUUCACCGGACAAUCAGGACUCAAGGCUUUGGCGCUACUGGACUCGGGUGCAACUUCCUGCUUCAUGGACACGGACUUUGCUACCUGACAUCACGUUCCUCUUUCUCCUACCAUACGGGAUUUGAGGGUUGAAGGCAUCGGCGGGCAUUUUGUGUCUUCAUCUUCUAGACUUAGGGAAACGUUGCCCGUUCGAGUACACAUCGGGUCCACCGUCACCGAUAUCGCCUUCAACAUCAUCAACAGCAAGUCCUCUGUGGUGCUCGGUCUUCCUUGGUUCCAACUACAUCAGCCUCAAAUCUGUUGGAAGGAAUUACAGCUCAUCUCUCCCAUGGCUUCCCCUGCUGUUCAUCGAGUCCGAAUCAGGAAAAGUUCCCUAAACUCAAAUCGGGGUUCUGUUCCUGACUCUACAAAGUUUUCACCCUCUUCUUUUUCCUCUCUUCCAUCUUACACUGGACCGUAUCCUCGUCUCAUCAUUCCAUUUAGUCGUACGCCUCCUCCUAUCUCCACAAUCACUAUGAGGAGCAUGACGAACAUGUACGCAAGGUGCUAGCGAAGCUGCGAGAACACGGCCUAUACGCGAAGCUUGAGAAAUGUUCCUUUGAUCAAUAGUCUGUGGAGUUCCUUGGGUACAUUGUCACUCUUCAGGGUAUCAUGAUGGAUCUUGCCAAAGUCAAGACUAUUCUCGAAUGGGAGCCUCCACAAUCAAUGUCGAACGUUCAAGUUUUCCUUGGCUUCGCCAACUUCUACCGCAAAUUCAUUGAUCACUACUCUGACAUUGUCCUUCCUCUCACACAUCUCACUCGCAAGGAUGUUCCCUUCUCUUGGUCUGCUGCUGCCCAGCAGGCCUUCGACACACUCAAGGCGGCCUUCAGUUCUACUCCUGUCUUGAUCCAUGCUGAUUCUUCACAACCUUUCUUCAUCGAGGCUGACGCCUCCGACUUUGCCAUUGGUGCUGUGCUAUCUCAACUCGGAGCGGAUCAUGAACUUCAUCCGGUCACUUUCCAUUCUCGGAAAUUCCAGCCUGCAGAGAUCAAUUAUGAAAUCCACGACAAGGAGCUCCUUGCCAUCGUGGAUUCCUUUGGAGAGUGGCGCCGUUUCUUGGAAUGGGCGGACCAUCAAACAAUAGUCUGGACGGAUCACAAAAAUCUCGAGUACUUUGCCACUUCCCGAGUUUUGAGCCGUCGUCAAGCAAGGUGGGCACAAUUCCUGAGUCGGUUUGACUUUGUUAUCAAGUACAGACCGGGAAAGUUUCAAGGCCUUCCUAAUGCUCUUUCAAGGCGCUUCUAUCUCAGUCUCAGGCCUGGUAAUCCUGCCUUCGAUCAACAGGAUCAAGUUAUCCUCAGUCCUGAUCGGCUUCAAGUUAUGGCAAUUUCCUUGGCCCCUUAGGACUCCUCCUUGAUGGAUGCGAUCAGAAACGAGCUCCAAUCUGAUGACCUCGCCAGUGAUAUUUUCACCCAUCUUCAGGCUGGACACCCAGUGACUCCCGACUGCCGGCAAUUUGACGAGUUCGAGUUCUUAGAUGGCUUAUUGUAUCGUGGGGAGUAGCUUUACGUUCCUGAAGGUGAUGCUCGAAGGUUGGUCCUGAUGGCAUGCCACGAUAGCCCGACUGCUGGUCAUUUCGGCAUUGCGAAAACCUAUGAGCUAGUUGCACGGGACUUUUGGUGGCCUCACAUGGACGACUACAUCAAAGCUUUUGUUACCUCCUGUGACAUUUGUGCCCGGAAUAAGGUACCUCGCCACCUUCCUUCAGGUUUGCUUCGUUCCCUCCGGGUCCCUUCAGGUCUUUGGGAAUCCAUCUCCAUGGAUUUCUUGAGUGAUCUUCCGAGUUCUGGAGGCUUCAACAGUAUUUUAGUCGUGGUGGAUCGUUUCACAAAGAUGGCGCACUUCUUGCCGUGUACCAAGGAAUUUUCGGGCGAGGACAUGGCAAAACUGGUAUUCAGGGAAAUUUUCCGACUUCAUGGGAUUCCUACAGAUGUGGUUUCGGAUUGGGAGCCUCAGUUCAUCUCUCAUUUCUGGCAACGGUUUUUGCAGCUGCUUGGAGUGAAGGCCAACCUCUCUUCGGCAUAUCAUCCUCAAACUAAUGGACAGUCCGAGCGAACGAUUCAGACGUUGGAACAAUUCUUGAGGUGCUUCAUCAACUAUCAUCAGGAUAACUGGUUCGAUAUCCUUCCCCUUGCUGAGUUCUCCUAUAACAACUCUGUUCACUCCUCUCUUCGAGUUUCCCCCUUCUUUGCGAACUCUGGCCGAAAUCCCCGAUUCAAUCUCUCACUUCCUUCUCCAUCUGAAUCCUCUCAUUCAAAUCCCCACUCUGAGGCAUUUAUCUCCAACCUCCAGGAAAUCCACAACUCCAUCUCCUUCCACCUCCAUCGUGCUCAGGAAUCUCACAAAACAUUUGCCAAUGUCCAUCGUCAGGAUUGUCCCCCUUACAAUAUCGGGGAUAAAGUCUGGCUCCUUAGGUGAAAUAUCUCCACCACCAGGCCCUGUCCAAAACUCAAUUUCAAACGCCUUGGUCCUUUCCCUAUCACUACCAUCAUUAAUCCUGUCACUUAUCACCUUGCACUUCCCUCCUCAUAUCAAAUUCACCUCGUUUUUCACUCCUCUCUCCUUGAGCCUUAUAUUCCCAAUCCUAUUCCAAAUCGGGUCAUUCCUCCGCCUCUGCCAGUGCAGCUCGAGGAUGGGUCUGAGUACGAGGUUCAGGACAUCCUUGAUUCCAAGAUUUCACGGUCUAAACUCUACUAUCUGGUCGACUGGAAAGGUUACGGACUUGAGGAACGCACUUGGGAACCUGCGGACAACCUGAUUCAUUCUCCUGACCUUGUUCAGGACUUCCACCGCCACUAUCCUUCUCGUCCCAGUCCUCAUUCUUUUUCUCCAUCUCCCAUCCCUCGCCGCUCAUCUCAUCCUCCUCUUCGUUCUCGUUCACAUCCUCGUUCCACUCGUUCUUAAGGAGGGGGUGCUGUCAGGAAUCCCCUAAUUCUUGCCACAUUCCUAACUCUCGCCGGAUUCCUGACCUGCAGACCACAUUCCUGACUCUCGAGACACUUCCCUAUUCCUGACUCUCGAGACACUUCCCGAUUCCUGAGUCUCGAGCCACAUUCCUAAUGAUGAUGUGGCACCUCCUCGACUUCAGCUAUAUUUAAGCCGUCCUCGAUCCAAGAGUGGUGGAGCUUCAUCAACCUAUAGUAUAUAUAGGUUAGCCUUGUUCCAUUUCUCCACAAUUUGAAUCAACGCCAGUUUAAGGCCUCUUCUUUGUUUCCACUAGCUUUUCUCUUUGUCUUUUUGCAUUUUCCAGUCUUGAUCUUGUCAGGGGUUUUGACAGUGAAAGUGUCCGAGAUGAACUUGAGAUGGAGUCUGAGAUGGAGUCCGAGAUGGGGUCCGAGAUGGAGUCCUAGAUGGACCGAGACGGAGUCCGAGAUGGAUCCGAGAUGGAGUCCAAGAUGGACUCCAAGAUGGACCGAGACGGAAUCCAAGAUGGAGUCCGAGAUGGACCCGAGAUGGAAUCCGAGAUGGAGUCCAAGGUCAAGACCGAGAUUGGGACCGAGACUGAGACUGAGACCGAGGCCAGGAAUGAGGCCGAGGCCGAGGCCGAGACCGAGCCCGAACCCGAGUCCGAGUUGGAGUCCUGAGUUCGAGUCUGAGAGGGUGAAAGCCCAAAGCGUUCGUCUCCCAGACCCUGGGGGGUUUGGUGAGCUCCAAAAGUAUAGUAGGGGGGAGGACUACAGUGGAGCCAGUUUGGCUAGGAAAGGCCAGUUUGGCCUAGGAAGGCUGUUCCCAAUGUUGGGUGAUGAGCUGCCCACUGGGAAGUCCAAGACUAAAGUGAACACGGACCGACAAGCGGGGUAGCUUGGUGAAGUGUUCAAGAGCCGGCUUUAGUUCCCCUGGGAGAUCAAUUGGCCAAUGCUCCCAGUCCAAGUGUGGGUGGCACUACCUACUUGGAUACCUAGUGUGGCUCAACGGAACCUCACUCUAAGCCCACGGCUAGAGCACCCAAAGGCGGAAGGUGGGGAGAGUACCCACGAGGCCUAUGGUAUUCCGAAAUGUUGCCCCAAGGUCUUAAACUGUGAAAAGGAAAAGGAGCCGUCCUAUAGUGUAGAGACCAAGGAUGCAAUCAUGUGAGGAGGAAGUCCCAGACGACCGUGGGACUUAGUGGUUGGGCCUGUGAGCCUUGAUCCAGUGGCAGUGUUGGCGAACACGGCUAUGGGCAAAAAGGGACUUGGUGGAGACCGGAAAAGGGAUGUUGGGGAAGGCUAUUCCCUAUGUCUGUGUGCAUCCUAAGGACGCUAAAGAGUGGAUUUGGGAUGAUCACUCAUGGACGGAUGGCCUAGUCUUUGAGAAACGGGACUGUAAUGUAGGUGGUGUCAGACCACUGGUGUGACCAAGGUGAUUGGGCAUGGCCUCAACGUAAUGGGCUGAUAUGUCGGUGGUACCUUGGGGUGUCGAUCAUGGGAUCGGAUACGUAGAGCACUUGGACCAAGUGCAAAAGUUGAGUGGCAUGGAUGCCAUUCUUGGGGCUGGCAAGCCCCAAGUUCGGUAUUGGACUUAUGGAGGUUGUGAAUGAGACUCCUCCAAGUGGUCGGAGGUAUGGUUAAGUGACUAAAGUAGAAUGGAAAAUUUAGUUGCUUACAAUUUGGUAUCAGAGUUGUUCCUUAGUCCGGCUUUUAUUGGUGCUCAAGUAUAUCACUAUUGAUAUUGGAAACGGAAGGUCCUAGAAGUGGGCCUAUCCUUGAGGAGUAGCAUGUUGAGAGGACAUGGCUCUCCACUCAAGUUCAUGCGUGAACAUGGGCACGAUGUGGUGGAUAGAAAAGGGGCCAAUAAGGGAAUGACUUUGGGAUCUUGGGAAUAAUAUAAGGUUUCCCUCAGAGAGUUGAGGAUGUGAUCCGGAUGAGCGGUUGACUCAGCAAACUGGCUAAGGUAGUUGUGGUAAACAACUAUAGUUGGUAUCACGGGAAAGAUAGAGGCUCCAAAACAAUAAAGGAGUCACAAAAUUAUCCUCGCAUAAUUGAGGCUAGUGUUCAUGAAUUUGAGACCGAAAUUGAUGACCGUGAGAAGUGAAGUACGGAUGAGGACACGAGUCCUUGAAAUGGUAGCCGAGGCUACCUUUUAUAAAUGCUGGAACAACCCAAGGAGUUGGGGGUGUACUUAGAGGAUGAGUUGGUAUUCUUAUCACAUGGACAAGUGGUCUUAAAAUGCAAAAGGUUGCCCCAAGAGAACAAAUCAAGUGUCGGAGUAACAAUUGGAAAGAUGGUUCUUGUGAGUAGAACUUGAAUACAAGAAGUUGUAUUUCAGUGAGCUGGCACCUUAAAGGUAGGACCUCAUGGGUCAUCAGAUGACAAAGUCCAAAAAGCUAGAUGACUCAAAUAGAGUCAAGGAAUAAUACUAAAGGAUUGAUGGAAGCAUUUGGAUUGAGGUGUGUUGUACCCCACGAAGGAUGGGGGGAAUCAUAAGAUCCAAGUAUGAGAACAGAGGGUAUUUUAUUGAUGGCAGAAUGUGCCAUACUAAAGUCGUGGGAAAGGUGUUCCUAGAAAAAGCAACUUUGGUGCAGAGUUGUGUGCGAACACUAUGGUGUAGUGCUAACGGAUAGUUGACAUGAGAAACAACUAGGUUAAUUCUGGCAAAGACCUAGACACAAGUGCAAAGUGUCAUAAAGGCAGACUCAUGGAGCUGAUGGUGUAGAGACACCAAAUGGGCCAAGGUGUGAUACCUUGAGGUUAUAUUGAUGGGUUCAUAAGAACCCCUUGCCAAGGGAAUCCCAAUUUAAAUGGGAAUGGCAUAGUCUAAAUUGAAAAGCAUGUGGUAGAGUGUAGUAACCUAGAUAAUGAUGAAAGUGUGGAAGCACCAACAAUGAGUUGUAGGGCUUGACAACUAUGAGGCAACUAAGUAAGAGGUGCAAGAUAAUUGGUUAAACGGAUAGAAGGUAGCUACCUAAAAUUUCUUAAUGGCAUAAGGAAGUUAGAUAUACCCUUACGGGGGAUAAAUUGCUUAUGUUGCAAUAUAGUGAGUCAAUGUUGUAAAAGGAAAUGCUCAUUGUCAAGAAGGCUAUCAUUGGGACACCCAAACACUCUAAAACACCAGGAAGUGGUGUUUGGUGUUGCAAGGGCAUUAGAUAAGGCCCAAGGGACUAAGUCCCUAGCGAAUGAUGAAUAGGAAGUGUUAUCCAAAUGUCUAAGGUUCUGGAGACGGGAGAAAUCUGUCUACCCGAUUUGGAUAAAGCAAAAAAUGGGAUUUUGGCAAGGCUAGUGAUGGGCAUAUAGAGGCCCAUAAGUAGCAACAUUAAUCCCGGUGCGUGGGAUUAUGAGGUGAGCAUGCCCAGAUUAAGGAACCACUCCCUAAGCUAUUGGGUAAAUUCAUCCCUAUGAAUACUUGCUAAGGCAUAGUAGAAGGUGCAAAGCUAUCUUUUUAGUUUGGAGGAGAAUAAGCAAAGGAAACAUAUAAGGCCAAAAAGUAAGUAGUAUUGAGAUGGAAUUGAACCAUAAAAAUUGAAGGGCAUAACUGACAGUGGUUAUGCAAGUUGGGAGUGGAGAAUCAAGAGGGUGCUCGAGGAUGUUGUUACUAGCAACCGCAGUGCUAUGGAGAGUCUAAAAUGUGAAAUUAUCCAUGUUAGACGAUAUAGUGAGUAAGGAGCUUGCAAAGGAGAAGCCUUAGCAAGCUAAGGAACAGAGUUCCAUGAAGGUUCCCAAAGACAAUUCUAAGUAGAUAAGUACCUAGAAAGCUAAAUGUAAAUGGUUCCUAAAGUGCGCAAAAUUAGAGUGGCGCAGCAGAAGCAUGGUCUUGAAGCUGGCCAUGAGGCGAGGCUAUCAAAGUUGGGGAAGUAUUUCCCAAGUGUUCAAAGAAAGGGCUUUGAAUGAAAGUCGAUGGUUAGGACUAUCACGCUUAUGCAUGAACUAUGUUACGGUGGCCGGAUGACUUACUAAGUGAGAUUGGCAAGUCAGGGGAACAAAUCCCUAGUCAAAGGUGCUAACUUCAAAAGGGAUGGCCCAUGGGGCCAAGCAUGGAAGAAUCUAUGCAUGAUCACAUACUUGUCUAGUGAGAGGGCUUGGCAGUGCGGAGGAACUAGGUUCCUAAGCUGUGAUCUAUAGUGCGCUUUAAAUAUAAAUUGGUGCAACGACAUGGGGAGUCACGCCAGGCAUCUUGGAUGAUGCCUUCUGUAGAUGCAUAUACGGAGGUUGGGUUCGAGUCCCGACCCUCUAGUGCUUGGGUUCAAGUCCCAAAUCACUAGGGCGUGGUGAUGGUUUGGAAUAUGAGGACAUUCAUUUUUCGGUGGUCAUGGACUCUCAAUGAGGAGACUGGUUUGGGCACACUGCCAAGCGAGGGAUGCCUUGGAGUCAUGAUGCACGGUUAGAUUGCUUAGUAUGGCUUGGCAAUCUAACUUGAACACUUUGGUGCGAGUGGCACCAAGGACGUGGUGAAUGAGAUAGGGAUAUCCAGUCUCAGUUGCUAUGGACCCUUAGCCAGAAGGGCUGGCUUGGGUGCACCACCAAGUGUGGGGGAUGCCCUCGGGGUCAUAGUGAACAACUUCAAGGUCUGGAAGAUCUAGUACCUAUUGGCAAACCUGUUAAGGUGCCAAAGUUGGAUCACUAGGUGGUCUUAUGGCUAAAAAAAAGGACAAGGUCCUUGCGAGGUUAAGAGAUAAAGUUCCUAAUUCAAAAGUGUUGAUUUGAACUAUUGAUGAUGGUGUGGCUUAGUCAAGGUAACCAAGUGGGAAGAAUACCUAAGGGAAAGAAUUAUGUUAAUGUGAUGGCAUAAUAAGUCUGAGAAAAGUAGUCUCUAUAAGAGAUCCAAGGGAGGGUCUCAAAAGUGGGGCCAUGGAUAAAGCCUACAGUAGAAAAUGUUAAAGAAACAUACUAAGGGUGAACACCCUCUGGACUUGGCAAAGUAAAGUGUUUGCUAUGGAACCGAAAGGAAACCUCGAAAAUGGAGGUAGUGAUUCUAUGUUGCUGGGGGCAACAAUCAAGGAUAGGAGCAAAAGACUAGUGGCUAAGAAAAGACCCAUGGGAAUCAUGGGAAAGAAUCUAAAUGGCAAAGUUAGGCCGAGAACACUAAUGUGUUGAGUGCUAAUGGAUUGUGAAAAAUGCAAUAUUUCCCCAAUGAUGGAUUCCCAACCACUCCGAUUUGGCGAAAGUGGAAGCUUCAAGAGGGGCAGCGUCAAGGUAGCUAAAUAAUAAGGUCGGGGGCAGCCCUAGCACCAAUUAUGAUAACUGGAACUUAGUGCCAAAAGUGGCACGAUGUCGAUGAGAGGAUGAUAGUGCCCUCAAGUAAAGAACUUCCUAGGAUGGGGAAGUGGAGUUGCACCAUGUGCAACGUAAGGUGUUGGAGACACUUAGGAAAUUGACUCUGAGAAGUCAAAAUUAAAAGUUCUAAAGUGCAAAGGUUAUGUCGAUGGAAUCUAAGACUACACGAGAAUGAGUAGUGGAAUUGAGUUAGAAAAGGUGUCUCUAACGGGUUUAGCGAAAACUGAACCAAUAAAAGGGAGUAAACCACCCCAGGUGGCCGAAUGAGUCUCUAUGUUGGAGAGACUAUGCUCCUUAAAGGAUGGAUAAGGCAUGAUGAGCUUUCGCUAUCAAACCAUAGACAAAUAUUAGCCAGGUGCCAAGGAUGGAAACAGUAAUAAAAGGGUUUACCGUUCAAUGAGGACAUCGAACUUUGUUUAUGGGUGGUGGAGUUGUGAGACACAAAAUCCUUAGGCCCCAAAGUGGAGCCAAAAGGGCGCCAUGUGGUAGUGGCUGAAGCAAAAGCCAAACGAGCGUAACACGCUUGGACUAAAAGCUCCGACUUGAAAGGUCAAGAGCGAGAGUGGAACUCCCAAUAAAGUGCUCGAGGAAUGAGCACGAAGCAAGCAAUAAAAGAGGCUCUAAAAAAGGGACCCAAAAGGACUAACACAUGACAUGUGGAAGUGUCUGAGAUAGACUUGAGAUGGAGUCUGAGAUGGGGUCCAAGAUGGAGUCCGAGAUGGAGUCCGAGAUGGAGUCCGAGAUGGAGUCCGAGAUGGAGUUCGAGAUGGAGUCCAAGAUGGACCGAGAUGGAGUCUGAGAUGGAGUUCGAGAUGGAUCCGAGAUGGACCCGAGAUGGACCCGAGAUGGAGUCUGAGAUGGACCCAAGAUGGAGUCCGAGAUGGACCGAGACAGAGUCCGAGAUGAGGUCCGAGAUGGACUCGAGAUGGAAUCUGAGAUGGAGUCUGAGAAGGACCCGAGAUGGAGUCUGAGGUCAAGACCGAGACAAGGACCGAGACCGAGAUCAAGACCCAGACCGAGACCGAGACCGAAAUCGGGACCGAGACCGAGACCGAGGUUGAGGUCGAGACCGAGCCCGAGCCCAAGUCCGAGUCCGUGUCCGAGUCCGAGUCCGAGUCCGAGUCCGAGUCCGAGUUUGAGUCUGAAAGGGUAAAAGCCCAAAGCGUUCAUCUCCUAGACCCUAGGGGGUUUGGUGAGCUCCAAAAGUAUAGUAGGGGGAGGACUGCAGUGGAGCCAGUUUGGCCAAGAAAGGCCAGUUUGGCUUAGGAAGGCUGUACCCAGUGUUGGGUGAUGAGCUGCCCACUGGGAAGUCCAAGACUAGAGUGAACACGGACCGACAAGCGAGGUAGCUUGGUGAAGUGUUCAAAAGCCGGCUUUAGUUCCCCUGGGAGAUCAAUUGGCCGAUGCUCCCAGUCAAAGUGUGGGUGGCACUACCUACUUGGAUACCUGGUGUGGCUCAACGGAACCUUGCUCUAAACCCACGGCUAGAGCACCCAAAGGCAGAAGGCAGGGAGAGUACCCAUGAGGCUCGCGUAAGGCCACGGUGUUCCGAAAUGUUGCCCCAAGGUCCCAGACUGUGAAAAGGAAGAGGAGCUGUCCUAUAGUGUAGAGACCAAGGAUGCAGUCAUGUGAGGAGGAAGUCCCAGACGACCGUGGGACUUAGUGGUCGGGCUUGUGAGCCUCGAUCCAAUGGCAAUAUUGGCGAACACGGCUAUGGGCAAAAAAGGACUUGGUGGAGACUGGAAAAAGGAUGUUAGGGAAGGCUAUUCCCCAUGUCUGUGUGCAUCCUAAGGAUGCUAAGGAGUGGAUCUGGGAUGAUCACUCAUGGACAGAUGGCCCAGUCUUUGAGAGACGGGAUUGUAAUGUAGGUGGUGUCAGACCACUGGUGUGACCAAGGUGAUUGGGCAUGGCCUCAGUGUAACAGGCUGAUAUGUCGGUGGUACCUUGGGGUGUCGAUCAUGGGAUUGGACACGUAGAGCAUUUGGACCAAGUGCAAAGGUUGAGUGGCAUGGAUGCCAUUCUUGGGGCUGGCAAGCCCCAAAUUUGGAAUUGGACUUAUAGUUGUGAAUGAGAUUCCUCCAAGUGGUCGGAAGUAUGGUUAAGUGACUAAAGUAGAAUGGAAAAUUUAGUCACUUACACCCGAGAGGAAGUUUGAGGUCGAGUCCAAGAUGGACCCAAGAUCAUCAAUCAUACACUGUGAUCUUCCUUGGAAACCACAAAAUAAUCAAACUCCAUCGAUCCAAAGCAUUGACAGGCCUCUUUCAAAUGACUUGAGUGGCUCAACGCUCUGUAAGAAUGCUCAUAAAUGUUCGACUAACACCCUCCAAUUGAGAAUGUAAAGGAGAGUCUUGGAACAUCCCUGAAGCAGUGAAGUCCACAACACAAUGCUUUCGAUUGGCACAGCGUCAAAGAGCUUCUUAGCAUCGCAUAUGAGUGCUCCACAGUAGUUUAAUCUGAAUCAUGCCUUAGUGUCAAACUCGAUUUCCUUCUCCACUGGAUUCGACGAAUUCCCCUGGAAAGCCACACUAGUAGAGUUAGCGAAAAGAAAGAGAGAGAGAGGGAUAGAGUGGGAUUUUAUCAUGAAAGCGUGAACAUCAGCCAGCAGAGCCUGUCACUUCCAAAAAGAGUAAACGAAAAUCGCAAGUUCACAGCAGCAAUGUCCUGGAUUGUUGCAUUGCGCAAUCGAUCUCUUACAACCAGGUUACUAAUCACUUGACUUGGAUACCAGGAAUGCCGCCACCGCCGCAUGCUAUCAAAAAGGUUCAUUCACAAGUCCAGGUCUACCAAGAACAUAAAUCAUGUCUGAAAACACAAAAUAAUCAAACUCCAUUGAACCAAGCUGGAGUGGCUCAAUGCUGUAAGAAUGCACACAUAAAUGUUACUUAGUCCUGACUAACACCCUCCAAAUUGAGAACGUAAAGGAGAGCCUUGGAUGCCGCGAAUGGGCAUAUGCUGUGUCUCUGGUGGGCAUCAAAUUCAUUAUGAUUUGUCAAAAAUGUUAGUUAAGGAUGGCAAGCAUGGCAUUCCACAUCACUCCGUAGCGAUACGGCAUCGAUUCCAACAGCUUCCUUGUCGUCAACCAGGCGAGGGUGUGUCAUGUUUGACACAAUACCCCACGUGGAACAUUAGUGCCUUGCUCGUGAUAUAAGAUACCAGGUCAUCUGGUCAUGGAGAUUCCCAGCCUGGGCAUAUGCUGUGAGCAGAAUCGUCCAUCUAUGAGACCAAGUCCGCCUGUGGCAUCUCUCUAAGUGUGCUGUCCAAAAACUCUAUAUUCUGGGGAUGGGAAUAUGCUCUAAGCAAUCUCAUUCCAAGAGACAAUGUUCUCUCAUUCAUUGCAUCAACGAUCCCUUUGGCCGAUGCCAGAUGCCCAUCCUGGGAAUACCCCUGAAGCAGCUAAGUCCAUGUGGGCAUAUGACUGUAUCUUAUCCGCCACUGUGCCUUGGCACGUGUCUCAAGUACAUUGCACGUCUCCUAGCCCACGUUAUUCAUGCUAAUAGUAUAAAUAUAUGUCUUCCUCCACUCUAUAUACAUACCACUCUCUGUAGCUAUCUUUGCAGCAGCACAGUUUAGUCCCUGCGUAGCAAAUCCCAUGGAGAAGGCAGCAAAGAUUGCUUUUAUUCUCACACUCAUAGUUGCAAUUUCAUUUGCCUCACUUGAGUUCACCAAUGCUAUUGAGAUAGCUCCCAACACAAAGUUUGUGCCGGCUUCUUCUCUUCUCUCAUACUUCAGGAACCUGAAAGAGAUGGAGUGCAUGCCGCACUCUCAAUGCUGCCCCGACUCCAAGCCCUGCCCAUCAGAGGACCAGGAGUGUAAGAUCUGUGCCAAAAUUUAUCCUGCACUGUGCUUCUGCACAGACAAAUCUGGGCUUAACAAGCUGAUGCUGUAAUCUGGAGGUAUGACUUAAUUCGUGUUUCUUUAUACUCAGUGCUAAUCAUUUGUGUGUCCUAGAAGAUGGACAACUUGAUGCACACCUUCUGAUCUAAAGAAUGGAGUAAUAAAUGUCUUUAUGUGCUAAAACUAUGUGAUUUUGGGCAUUUUUCGCUUUGCAAGUGAUCCAUUAGUGGUUAUUUCUUUGAUAGCCACGACAUGUACUGUGUAAUUCGCUACUGGUAAUAAUAAAAAAACUCUCAAGCUUGUUUGAGAGUUGACAACGACAAGUCUUAACGGUGACGUGUCAGCACGGCAUGAUGACGUGUCUGUACGGUUUGGGUCUAGGGUUUUGGAUUUUUUGUCUAUGUCUUCUAGGGUUUUACAGGCAGCGGUGGCGGUGAGGAUGGAGAGCGUGAGAGGCGGCGCGCCCGUCGACAAGGCUGUGGAUUUCGCGAAUUACUUCUGCACCUACUCGUAUCUCUAUCACCAGAAGGAUAUGCUGUCGGAUCGGGUGAGAAUGGAUGCCUAUCACUCGGCCGUGUUUAAGAACAAGCGCCAUUUCCAGGGAAAGGUAGGAGAUCUCUCUUCUUAUUCUUCGCAUUCUAGUGUUUCAAUCGAUGGUUUUGGAUCGAGCAGACUGUCUUGGACGUGGGGACUGGGAGUGGGAUUUUGGCGAUUUGGUCGGCGCAAGCCGGUGCUAAGAAGGUGUACGCGGUGGAAGCUACAAACAUGGCUCGCCACGCGCGGAGCUUGGCGAGCGCGAAUGGAGUGAGCCACAUUGUGGAAGUGAUCGAGGGGUCGAUUGAGGAUGUUUCCAUUCCCGAGAAAGGUGAGUGUUGUUUCUUUUUCCCUUGCAUUUUUCUUUCCUUCUCGUUUGUGUUUCUUCGUCUCUUUGCUGAAGAGACGGUGUGUGUGUGUGUGUGUGUGUGUUAUGCGAUGCGACUAUAUACCAGGCUUGUUUUGUGACUUUCGUGCUGAGCAGUCGAUGUGAUCAUCUCCGAGUGGAUGGGCUACUUCCUUGUUCGUGAAUCUAUGUUUGAUUCGGUGAUUUAUGCGCGUGAUCGUUGGCUCAAACCAUCUGGAUUGAUGUAUGUAGUCUUUGAUUUGUCUCCUUUUUGUACACUGGCUCACUCACAAUCUUUUUUUGUUGCCCAGGUAUCCCAGCCAUGCUCGUAUGUGGUUUGCUCCCAUAAAGACCAAACUCGUAGAGCAAAAGAAUCAAGAGUAUCAGAAAUCACUGGCGGAUUGGAGCUACUUUUCUCAAGAGCUAAACGAGGCGUAUGGUGUUGAUAUGAGCACCCUGACAAUGCCAUAUCACGAGGAGCAAAAAAAAUACUACUUACAGGUAAAAUGUCUCUCUUUUUCUCUAGACUACCUAGCUAAAAACGAAGUUGUUUUUUUUCACUUCCAGACGUCCUUAUGGUCGAACUUAUAUCCGGGUCAAGUGAUUGGCGACCCGGUUGUUGUUAAAGAGAUCGAUUGCUCCAAUGCAACGCUCCAGGACAUUGCUGCUGUGAAGUCGCGAUUUUCGUUUACACUUUCUGGAAGCGAUAGGCUCUGUGGAUUUGCCGGCUGGUUUGACGUUCACUUUCGGGUCCGCUUUCGUUCUUUGCGGAUGAUGAAACCUCUCCCGCUCUCUCUCUCUUUUCCUUUUCUCUAACUAGUGUGGCUUUCCAGGGGAAUGCGUCGAAUCCAGCGGACAAGGAAGUCGAGUUGACAACCUCUCCAAGUGACACUGACACAACACACUGGGGCCAACAGGUGCUUUGAAGCGUUUCUCUUUGCUACUGCUAGUGAGAGUUAUUUUUCUCUCGACAGGUUUUCCUUCUCCAGCCUCCACUCGUGAUCGAAGACGGCGAUGUAGUCCAAGGCUCGAUCGAGAUCACACGCUCCAAAGACAAUCACCGGCUCAUGGAUGUCAAGAUCACUCACGAGCUUCGCUCGUCGGGAGAACAGUUUUAUCCGGCAACGGUUUGCAACUUCUUUAUCGAGUGAAAACUAAGAUUUUCCUGAUUCUUUCAAGCAAAACUAUAGACAUUGACACUCACGAAAGGGUACCACCUCUUCAUGACUUAAUAUUAACUAUUCCUUUUUCAUACUAUUCCUCCUGAGCUCCAGGUACUGCUGCGAUCCAAAAAUGGCACUUUUAGGGGACAACACCCAGCCUUACACCAUAGAUCAUCCUAAAUCUUUCACGAAGAACAAUGAUAUAGAUAUAUCGUUGUUCUUUGUGAAAGGUUCAAUGAAGUAUGGUUACACCAUAGAUGAUCUAAACGUUGCUAGAAGUUUGAGGAUCAAGCUUCCCUCUCGAACAUACUUUCGAGUUGCGGCGCGUGAAAAUGAUGAAAUUCCCACUGGUUUGCAUCUGGAUGUCAAGGACUUGGAGCCACAGCCAGCUCGCACUCCGUUCUAUAUCAGUGAAGACUGGUACUUUUUGUUUGACUGAUGCUAAUGACAAUACAAUCAAGUCAGGCCGGAUGCUGCCAGACGAAAAGCUUGUUGUCAAGUGAUUACAAGAGGGAAGUAGCAACAAAGACCAAACAGAGCGAGCGAGCUUGAUUAAAUGCCUUAUACAUAACUUUGAAUGGAAGAUAUAUAAAAUAUAAACGUCUGUAUUGAAGCAGAAAUUUCCCCGACUCUGAAACUCAAAAAAAUAAUAAAAAAAUGCAAACAUCCCAAAGGGAAUCCCGCACACAAAGGAAAACAACAAAGAAACACGAGAUAAGUUAAGCAUACCUCCAGAUUACAGCAUCAGCUUGUUAAGCCCAGAUUUGUCCGUGCAGAAGCACAGUGCAGGAUAAAUUUUGGCACAGAUCUUACACUCCUGGUCCUCUGAUGGGCAGGGCUUGGAGUUGGGGCAGCAUUGAGAGUGCGGCAUGCACUCCAUCUCUUUCAGGCUCCUGAAGUAUGAGAGAAGAGAAGAAGCCGGCACAAACUUUGUGUUGGGAGCUAUCUCAAUAGCAUUAAUGGACUCGGAGUGAAGCAAAUGCAAAUGCAACAGUGAGUGUGAGAACAAGAGUGAUCUUUGCUGCCUUUUCCAUGGGAUUUGCUUUGCGAAGACUAAAC